rnacentral:lncRNA from 1 species
UUCGUUCAAGCGGGCUGACUAACCGUGUGUUUCCAAGGCGAGGCAUGGUGUUCCUGGCCAGAGUCGAGGCAGUAUUUUUGGCUGGACGAUGUUACUCCUGACGCCGCAUCGUUGCGUCUUCCCUGUGUGCAGUAAUGGCACGGGCUACCGACGAUCUACCAUUGGUUUUGCUUGCGUCCAGUGGCUGUGCACUGUGCAAGUGGUCACGAUUGUUCGCCACCGUUGUAAAUCGGCGUUAGAUGCAUCAGCUAGAGUAGCCCGCGGGCUGGAAUUCGUUGCAAACUAUGACGUGCUCGGAUAUGUAUGUACUGCACUGCAACUUAUGAUGCGUGCUCGGAUAGGCGCAUUCUUCAGUCUAAAAUACAGUAUAACCUUAAGUCCUGAAUUCUGAUCCAGGACAAUUCUUAAUUUCAGAUGGUUGCUGUUAAAUAGCUGGGAUUUGUUUUCUUUGUAAUCAUGCAAGAGCUGGUGAUAUGUUGAUUGGUGUACAUCUAAUGACUUCUUGGUAUCUGAAUACUGUCGGCCCGAGUCUUCCUUCGCAUCCCAUGUAGAAAAACAGUACAAGCUGUAGAGAUGAACCAACAGCUGUACACAAUUAUGCAGCAACAGAUCAGAUCAGAUCAGAUCAGAGUCGAACGGUGGACUGGUAAUACAGACACAGAGAAGGAAAAGAAGCAAUAGUUUUGCAGGUUAUUCUUUUAUUUUUUUGCGGGGAGUUUAGCAGGUUACUCUCUGCCAUCGUAGUUGAAACUUGAAACAACAUAGUAUCACCCAACAGACUGCCAGGCAUCAAACUGGACUAGUGCUUUUCUCGGAUAAUUAUUAUUCAGCCGGAAGUAUAUCUUGACGCCGAGAUGCAUAUGCGCGGGCAGCAGCAGCUUCAUGAGGCCGUGGAUCCUGUUCGCUCCGAGAUGUCGACCGACAGAUCACAAAUUCACAUAGUUAUUAUGAUAUCUCCAACUUGGAACAGCGACAAAUGGAACACCACAAUGUAUGAACUACAAAAAGCUUCCACAAAUAAGCAAAUGCAGAGUAGAGAAACAUCAAUUUUCAGAAGAGGGCUUCGCAGUGCUGACCCGAGCUCCCCUCCGUGGUGCCCAAACUCUUGGCGUGUAGGUACCCUCAUCACCUACUGGCCAAGGAGACGCAGAGCAUCUCCACCCACACGCCCUCAAUCACCUUCCAUGGACUGUCUUGUCAUCCUUGAGGAUCUACCGUGGUGAGGAGAUCUUCCACACCAGGCAGCACACCCACGGCCUUCACCAGAGGCGUCGUGAAUACACCGAGCAGCGGUACAUCGGUGAUCUGCUGUUGCGCCCAUGUAGUAGAAGCAGAAAUCCAUGGUGGUGUGCCAGAGAAGAACACUCAUCGAAUGGCCUCCUUAAGCUGCAACCUAGAACUUCCAGUAACUGCCGGGGUCCUUGAUUUGAUCUUCCCACCCAGCUCUGUAAUGGCAAAGGAUGAGUUGCAGGGCUUCAUGGACCAAAUUUGACCAAUGCAAUUGAAGAAAAUCAAGAUGCACAGCUUCCUUAUCGCGGGCAAAGAAUCCCAUCAGAUAAACAGGCCAAAUACACUCUCAGGCAGCAGGCUUCCGGCAUGGCCGAUCGAUUCCAGCCAGAAGCUAGUUCACCCAACGGACUAGGAAUUGGCCAAGGAAGCUGGUAUGGCCAAAAAAAAUAAAAAAUAAAGACAACACGCAGGCAAUUAACUAGUACAUCAAAAGAUUAAAAAAAAAACUCCUCAUGCAAUUGUCAUCCGCAUUUGGUGCUCGAGAUUUGCAAAUGGAUUGAUGCUAUAGAUAAUAAAAGUAUUUUCAGAGUAAACAAAUACAGUAUAUAAUUAAAAUAAAAACUAUAGUACUAAAAAAAAUACAUGGAGAGAGGCAUGUGAUGAAAAAUAUACGCCUGUGUGCUCGGCAAGAAAAACAAACAGUUCAGCUUGCUACAACAAAUGUUUAUUUUUCAGAAAGGAGGUAUCGUCUCGGCCUCUGCAUCAUAUGAUGCACACACCCAUUCACUACCAAAAAUAUACGUACAGAAUUCCUUAAUUUUUUAGUCAUUCCCUUGGAUAAUCUUACAUUAUUAUCACGAUGUUUCGGUAAUUUUUUUUUCUACUCCCUCCGUUCCUAAAUGUAAGUCUUUUAAGAGAUUUCAAUGCAGACUACAUACGAGCAAAAUGAAUGAAUAAACACUCUAAAAUAUGUCUAUAUACAUCCGUAUGUAGUUCCUAUUGAAAUCUCUAAAAAGACUUAUAUUUAGGAACAGAGGGAGUACAUGAUUUCUGAGAACAUUUGCACCACCCAAGCCAUAGCUGAUUUCUCAAGCAAUUAUUCAUAAAAAAUCCACCCGUUGCCGUGAACAAAGUUGUCCGACAUGAAAGAGAAAAUACGUAUAUGGACACACACACAUACACCACACACGCAUUCUAAGACAAUUGUGGCACACAUGCUGGGAAAUCCCAAACCCUGGUCAACAAAAGAAAGUUUGUGCUACGCUUCUCGUUUCUUCAGCUUCAUCAUGAGCCCAUUUUUCAUCUGCAGUAAACAAGAUAGCUUGGGUUGGAUGCUCUGGCUUUCCACCAGCUCCAGGUCAAAGUUCCACACGACUGCGGCAAUGAUGGUCUUCAUCUGCACAACUGCGAUUUCCUUGCCUGGGCACAUCCUUGGGCCCGAGUUGAAGGCCAGGAACUUGUUAGAUGGCACGUACUUGAUCUUGUUGCCAUCCUCCAAGAGCCAUCUGUUUGGGUUAAAGUCAAGGCAGUCUUUACCCCACAAGCUCUCCAUUCUUCCCAUGGAGUAGAGAGAGAUGUAGAUGGCAUCACCGGCGUACACCUCAUGUCCACUUGGCAUGGUAUCAUCGGUAACCACCGUCUUGCGCUCCAUAUGCGCUGGUGGGUAUAGCCUGAGAGUCUCGUACAAGGUGGCUCUCAGAUAGACCAGAGAUUUGGUCUCCUCCGGCUCAAAGAUGACCGUGGCACCCAUGCCGCGGGCUACUUUGUGCGAUGCAAUAGGUGAGAGUUCAUUACGGAUGAUUGACACGACAUUAGGGUUCUGGGCGAGGCUGUAGAAUAUCCAUGGCAGAGUUGUGCCGAUUGUGUCCCUCCCAGCGAGCAUGAAGCUAAUGAGUGUUCCACAGAGCAAGUCAUCGUCAGCGUAGUCUGGGUCAUUGAUGUAGAGAGAUAAAAUAUCCCCCACAACCUCUUCAUCCUCAUCUUGGCCUCCGUUGGUCUUCCUCCUCUCCAUCGUAUCCACGACAAACCUGCGGAGCACUCUGUUUGCUUCGUGGAGCCUUCUCUCGGGGCCAAUAUUUAGCCACCUCAAUGUCUUCCACAAAGAGGCCGGCAUGGUGUGUCGGAGAAACCCCACCUCCAUGACCGUGUCCAUGGCAAGGGAGGCGUCAAUCAGAGGCAUGUCCAAGGACAGGAAGCCAGGGUCAACGCUAAAGACUGUCAUGGCGGUGAUGUCAAACAUUAACCUCGCCAUUACUUCUUGCAUGUCGAACGAAGUGCUAGUGCUCGCCAUGCGGGCAAGCAACGGGAGGAGGUGGUUCUUCACCUUGUCAUGGCAAUGAGCUGCCACACGGUCAGCAAACCGUGGGCUUCUGAUCACGCCCACGAACUUCAUGCGGCGCAAGCGCCACAGCUCGCCAUCGAUGGUGAAGAAGCCACCAGCCAUGACGUCGAAUAUGGCGGCGAAUUCGGCGCCCUUGGGGAAGUUGGAGUAGUUGGUCGUGAAGAUGUGCUGGAUGUUGGCAGGGUCGCAGGUGAUGAAGAACCGCAUCCCGGCCCCAGGCGGGCCGUCCCCAUUGAAGUUGAGGCCUGAUCCGGCGAGGAGCGCAUAGCUGUACUCAUGGAAGUUGUAGAUGUUGGCCACGAGACCAGGGAGCAUGCCUAGUAUUGGCCAUUUUGUGGGGGGCACUGCUGCUGCUGGGUCAUUUGAUCUACUAUGAGUACAAGACCACAUGUACAAGUAAAGACCUAGGGGAACAAGUAGCACAAGUGCUGUGGAGAUGAGUGACAUUAUUAUCGCUAGUGCGGUGUGGGGAGGACUACUUACUUGGAUGUAAGGUGCAAAUGCAAUGGACAUGGCGAUGGCUUCAUUUAUAUAUAGACAAGUUGUUCCCUCUGAGUCCAUUGGUACAAUACUAGCAGUGGCCACUGCACAAUUUUUUUUUUUGCGGGUCACUACACAUACGUUUUGGUGCACGAUAUAGCAUGCGUUCUGUGCACGAAUAUCAUGCGUUCUGUAUCGUCAUGAAAUAGUAUAAAACUUAUAAGUAUAUACCUCAAUUAAUCGAUGCGAUAUGAACAAGGUAUUUAAAAAUCGUCAUGCGUAUGGUACCUCCAUUAUUUUCGGGCUGCUGCUGCACUGGAGUAGUGGACAACAAUGUAUGAACGUUGCUGCUGGAACAGACGACAGACCACAGCAUGCUCAUCGUGUUCAGGAGACUCGUGCACUGGGCGGGCAUCCAGCUCAACUCUGAAGCGGAAAAACCAUGGCCAUCCCUUGCCUGUGAUUGAGGGCCGACCUGACAUAUAUGUAUGAAACCUGAUACCAUUAUUUGUAUUUCAACAGACAAUAGCAGAUUGAAUGAAUGAAAAAAGCCGAUGGUUCCACUAAAAUGCAGACAAAAAACAAAGCUAGCAUCGUUUCCUUUGCAAAAAACUCAAAACUAAAAAUAGAUGUUGGUCCGAUCGACUAACCAGAUGCAGAAUCCCAACUUCAACCCCAGGCUCUGGCAGAGGAAGCAAAGUAAUGAUUUGAAUCAAGUAGGUAGCUACGUCCAUCCUGCUAGAUCGAGGAGCAGAUCCAGCCAUCUGUAAACUGAAAAUAUACAAGCAAAAUUUGUGUUCAGGCUAUCUUUUAAGCCCAACAGAUGCAGAAAAUGCAUGUACAUGCAUACCUGAGCACUUACCAUAGGCCAGGAUAUACGCUAGCCUGCAAGUCACCACCAAUUAUGCAUCUAUUACAGUUUACAGAAGAAGAAAAAAAAUAUCAUGGUCAGUAGGUGACUGUCAACAGUUCUGCGCAAAAGCUCAGCACAACUAUCUGAUGCAGAGAAUCCCCAAACAUGGCAUCACUGAACACUCUGUUUUCAGUUAGAGCGACAUUGCAAUAGUAGUUACAGACAUUCUUAUAUUUGGGCAGUAAUAUAUCAACAGGGCAAUCAAAUGCCCCACACCAUCCUUACACACAUUGUAACAAGAAAUGUAUCCCCACAAAAAAGGAACAAAAGAGAAAAGUACAGACAUUGCGUGGCUCUCACGUCUCAAGCUUAUUCAGACUUACAGACACUAGGAAACAUACAUACAUCACAGUGAAACAUAAUGGCAAAUCUUCCACAGAUAAAGCAAAUAAGCACCGAUUAAGAUGGAAAUACAGGGGAGAAAUCGACUCCAUAUGUAAGCAUCGUUUGUCAAACAAUGUCUUCUCCCGUGGUGGUGCUGACCUGGGAAGUCAAUGGAGCAGAGCAGGCAUUUCCUUGUCCGCUUCGAAGCUCCGUCCUCAGCAGUCUCUCUGGCAAGGUCUCCAUCCCCAUGUUGGACAGAAGGAGCCAGACAUAGGUCAGUAACUCCCCACAGGUCUUAACUUGAUUUGCAUCGAAUGACCUAGUUGCAUCGAAUAUGGCUCAUGUACCUAGGCAGCAACGCUCUAGCUGUAUUUACAGAAGCACGUCUUAACUUGAUUUGCAUCGAAUGACCUAGUUUUCUAUGUUUUUCACAUGUGCAUACCGAUUGAAAGUAGGCGCGCUGGGUAGGGCUUGGUAAGAUUUUACAUGCUUUGGACAAAAACACAGCUGGACUGUUGCUUAAACUCUUACGUGAAUCCCAUUCCCACAAUAUGUUGAAGGCAGGCAAGGGUGGAUGCAGCUCUUACUAGUUACCAAUACCACCCUACCUCUUCUCUUCUUCUUCUUCUCGGAUCACAACCCCAUACCCAAAAACACAACUUGGUCAACUUUAAUUCAACAGAAAAUGCCAAGGAAAAGGAUCACAAUCCAAUCUACUCCAGCCAUCCCUACCAUGGGAAUGCACCGUCAUCCAGCGUCCACUACGCCUACGAGUCGGGAUCAGCAUGGCAAUGCUGAGGCGCUAAUUAAACCCGGCAUGGUUCGCUCACACAUACAUACGGCGAGCUCACACACACACGCACACUAACUUGAUUUUGUGUGUAAAAAGUAACACUAAAACAAAGGGCAGGUUUGGGUUAACAAUGUUUGCAUUGAGGGAGCACGGACAGAGUACCCGCAAAACACAGCGGAGCAGCGCAAGCGUGAGGGGGCGUCCGCGCUCGGUCAGUCAAUGGUCACUGGGUUGCUACUCCAGCUAGAAACGGAUGGGAAUAAACACAAGCACCUGGCGUGCAAGCAGGCGGGCAGAAGCUAACCUGGUGGCACUUCCAAUGGACGAAGGAGAGGUCGCCGGCCAUGCCGCGGGCGCAGUUUACUCGGCCAUACGUCGAUGAGGCCAGCUGCACGGUACCACAAGCCGCCGCCGCCGCCUUGAGUUUCGCGCCAUCCGGCUGGCGCGCCGGGGCAUCCGGUUCUGAUGCUCGGGUGUUUGACUCAUCGGGGGGAAGAGAGAGGGUUGUUGGGCUGAUUGACUCAUCAGUUCAAAGGGUUGUUGGGCUGCUGCUCGGAUGGGCCUGCAGGCCGCCUUUGACGGCCCACUGAGCUGCUCGUCAAAGGUAUGACUAUCAACCCCUAAAAAAAAGGUAUGACUAUCACUCAAUUUCUCAAAAAAAGAAGAAAAAACUAUCGCACGAAAUGACAAAAUGCCUCAAAAUGCUAAAAUAGGAGUAAGAAGCAUGCAGACAUUGCAUGCCUUUUUAUUCAGGCGAAGAACAAAAACACUAGAGAACCACAUGGACAAACACCACAUGCAAACAUGACAGAUCUUCCAAAGAUAACCAAAAGCAAACAACAGAAAACACCGGGAAGACAAUGUCAAACAUGACAGAUCCACCAUUGAAGCACCAUCACCAUUGCUACUGGCAGGACCAUCACUACUGUUGCGAGCACCCCCGCUCCCACCGUUGCGUUGCAAGUACGGCCAGAGCCGUCGUUGCAAAGCCAUGGCGAUGCUGCAAGGGGGUACCACCGCGAGAGGUCGCUAAUGUGCUGCCAACUGCGUGGCGCAACGACGAGUGGCGAGGAUGUUGCCAGUGGCGGGCUCAUGGCGGCAGAGUCGCUGUUGUGAAGCGUGAGGUGAUGCUGCGACCUGCUGUGGUGCAGGCUGGGGAGCCAACUCGCCGAGUCGGGGGUGCGUGCUGAAUAAUUGUCAAGCACGAGACGAGUGCAACAACGAUCCCACCAAUGUUGCAGGAAGGUUCGCCAGCGCUACAAGGACUGGCCGAUGCGAGGGAGCCCAACUGCCGGUGCUCAGUGUUGCAUGUCGAUGAUGUUGCAACCGCUACUACUGCGAGCGGUGCGUGGUCGUCGACAUCCAUUGCAAGUGGCCGCUACAAGACAUGUCGUGGGGAUGACGAAAAAGUGUUGCUAGCCGACACUGUUGUGAAUCGUGAACCAUCGCGGGGGGACUCACAGAUCUGCCGAGGGAUGCUUUUCAACAUGGAUCAUGUUGCAAUGAGGUUUGCAACAUGGGUCGUGUUGCAAUGGGACUUCCGAUACAGGUUGUGUUGCAACGAGAGAUGGACAGAGGUAGGGACGAUCGCACGGUGGGCAUCAUAGGCAUCGAAUGGCUCGUGACCCAGCCGAUCUUUUCCAAAGAUCAGCCGACCGACGCAUACCGCGAGCCCUUAAAGAAAAUUGCUCGUGAUAAAGGUGUGCCAUGUUGAACAUCUGUAUUAGUCCCAUGGACUGCAUCAAUCACCGCUAAAUCUGGCCUUUGUCGUUCUAGGGACUGGUGUUAGCUGACACAAGUCACAUUUUGCAAAAGGCUGACACAAGUCACAUUUUGCAUUUUUUCAUUUUAGAUAAAAGGCUGACAUAAGUCACUUUUUUUUGAAAAACCCCAUCAUGUAUUAAUUAACUUAAAAUGUUUGUACAAUCAUUCAUAACAAACUUUGCCACGCAGGGCGGAACGGAAUGAAAAAGAAAACCAUCAGAUUUAUUAUCAAAACUAAACUUUGCAAUCUCAUGAGCCACCAUAUUAGCCCUCCCGUUGAUCUUAGAAAUCCGUAAAUUCACCAACAACUUUGAGACAUCUAAAGCUUCCUUCUUUAGAUCAACAAGGGAUGAUCUGUCCACAUAAUCUCUUUUAAAAACGGAGGCCACGAAGGAACAAUCAGUUUCUAAAAUGACGGGCAUGUCUAGAGUCAUACCAAUAUAUAGGCCGCACAGGGACGCUCUAAGUUCUGCUUCCUCGAUGCUAUAGCAAGCACCAGUAUAAUCCCAGGAGGAAAGGAUCACUUGUCCACAGUGAUUUCUAACAAUCACUGUUAGACUUGUGUCGAAUAUUAUUGUACAAGGUAUGUUACAGUUGGACUCUGAGUAGUAUUAUGUUUAGAUAGGAUAUGGAGUCGUGUCCUAGUAGGACACUUGUAUCCUAGGCCUCUCAUAUAUAGCAGGGGUAGACACACGAUGUAACCUAUGCCAACAUAAUAGCACAGGUACGCGGGGGAGCCGGCGGCGUGUGCUGGCGCCCGGGCGGCCGGGGUGCGGUAUUGUGACGGUGUCAUGGGGAGGAGCGCCCAUAGUCAUGCCCCGGGGAUGUAGCCAUAACGGUGAACCUCAUUAACAAAUAUUGGUGUCGUGCCUCGUGUGAUUGCUUGAUCCUCGGUAGAUCAACGGAGCGCCUCGGGUUAAUUCUAACAACCACCCCCACGCUCGCAGCUUCAAUGGCCUCCACAAAACUUGCAUCGACAUUAAUCUUGUAGAAGUCUGGGGUGGGUGGCCUCCAAGGAGUAACCUUCCUCUCAACGUUAUUGGUUGGCUGAAGUUCCAGCUCCACUUGCUUCCCUUUACUGCAUAUCUCCACCUGCAUUUUAGCAUGACAAGACGAGAAAGAUGCCCAAUAAUUUUUGACAAAACUCACCAAAGCUGAGAUGGAUUCCAUUCCCCUACCAAAGAUCAAAUCAUUCCUCAAGUGCCAAGCUCUCCAGAACAUGGAUAUAGUUUGCUCGCGUACAAGAGAAGUUAACUGGUCCAAUAAAAUAAGGAACCAGUCCGGUCCAGAAUAUUUGAAGGUCUUCUCCACCGAUAAUUUCCACACUUCCUUCAAUGCCAUACGGAACGCACGUGCCUUGUGACAAACCACCAACGCGUGAAAAAUACAUUCAUCGUCAAUACCACAUAUUGAGCAUGUACCUAGAGUAGCUUGAUGAUGUUUAACCCUAUUGAGUUGAACCGCCAAACUAUUAGAAGCAGCCCUCCAGGCAAAAAUUCUAAGUUUCUGGGGGACAUUAGCAUUCCGAAUAAUAUUCCAGAGCCUCCUAUCCCCAUUUAUGGCAUCACUGGAAUUGCCAGAAUUAAUCCUCGGUUCCUUAAGAUUCAAAGCCAGUCUAUACGCACUCUUCACCGAGAACAAGCCACUUUUCUCGUGGUGCCAAGCAAUAAUAUCUCCCCCGCCCACUCGAAGAAUACACAGCUUUAGGAUCUACUCUGCAUCAUGAAUAUAAAACAGAUGCCUUAUCACGUUCUCAUCCCAAAUCCUAGAUCCACUCAAAAAUAACUCGGACACCCAUUUGAUCCUAGUUCUGUUCUUUUUUCGGCAAAUUUGUAGACAGAUUCCCUAGGGAUCCAAUUAUCCCUCCAAAUAUUUAUACUAGUAUCAUCGACCACUCUCCAAAUAAUGCCUUCUUUUAGCAAUUCGAGGCCAUGCAUAAUUCCUUGCCAAGUAAGGGAUGUAGCUUGAGGGGAUACUGAUGCGGAGCAUCCUACGAUCAUCCCCAUGUACACUUCGACUACUCCCCAAGCCCCAAGAGGACAUACGAUGAGACCUCGACCAUACGCCAUUGGGCACAAGGUGAACUCACUCCUCUUCGAACCGUCACUUUCCACAUGUGAGACAUGGCUACUACAUCAUGCAUGGACCUUGCAUAUACUCAGGUACAACCGAGGCGACCAUGGAGGAUCCAAGGACCAAGGCCAAGCAUGGAAGAGGAGAAGGAAGAAGAAGCAGGGACAAGCUUCUGGAAAGCCCAGAACUUCCGUCCUCUGCCCGAAACUUCCGACCCUCGGACCUUCUGGCCUGCCCAGAACCUCCGAUCCCCGGAGUCCAGACCAGCCCCGAGCGCGCCAACUCUCUGGAUAGCCCGGAACCUGGCCGGAACUUCCGGCCCCGCCCAGAACUUUCGGCCUGCCUGCGUGCAAAGACUCGAGCCAAAGCCCAUGUAACCCUUUCCCACUUACCCCUUCGUGGCUUAGACUAUAAGUAGACCACCCCUCCUCCUAGUUAGGGUUAGCAAAGGAUUAGCUCAUUUGAGAUAGAGCUUUGCUUAUCCAUACGGAUCUCCUCCUCGUGAGAGAUCGCGGCCUCUUCGGAGAAGAUCCACCUGGAUUCAAGACCCCUUUACGGAAUCCCUCGUGGAUUCAAGACCUCCUCUCAGAGAUGAACUACCGCCACUUUAUCGUCCUUUGUUGGAUUCGGACCGUGUAUUUCUUUGUGUUUCUUGGAUCUAGCAUAUGUGUGACCGGAUCUCAUUGGUUGAGUGUUUUCUCUUGUGUUUUCCUCGUGUUCCCCUCGUUUCCUCUCUCGUGUUCUUUGUGUUCUUGGUAGGGUUCCUCUCCAAACGUGAAAGAUCAGCCUCUAGGGUUCUACCCUACAUCAUCUUGGUAUCAUGAGCCACGUUGAUCAUGUUUUUGGAGCCCCUACCCUUUGUUUUCUAGCUUGAUUUUGUUGAUUUCGUCCUAAAUUCGAAAAUACCCACCAAAAAUAGCCCCCCAUUUUUUUGUGAUUUGUUGGUUUGGAUGAUGUUCUGUUGAUUUUGAUCCAUGGAUCCGCUGUGUUAUGAGUGGAUCUAGCAUUCCCCAUCUGUUCCCCCAUUUACAUCCACGAAAUCUCCCCAAUUUUGACCCUAAAAAUCGAGUUUUCCCGCCCCCGUUCUCAGAUCUGGAAUUUAGGGUUCGUCCCAGAAGAAAUUCCACGACCCCCGGAACUUCUGGACUUCCUCGAAACUUUCGUCCUUACCCCGGAACUUCCGAGCUAAACAGAGAGUUUACCCAAGAUCCCCGGCUCACCCGAGACUUUUUCCACGACCCCUAGAACUUCCGGAGCCCGGAACUUACGACCCUAACCCCGAAACUUCCGGCCUAACCAGAAACUUUCCCCGAAAUUUCAGCAUCAACCUUCUUCACCGUUUUCAUCAUAACUUUUUGCUCUGAACUCCGAUUUGAGUGUUCUUUGGCUCGUUUUGAAGCUAUCUACGUGCCCGAGGUCCUCACAUUGGUUUUACCACCUUUUGACUCCAUCAGAUUUUUGGAACUUUGGCAUCUUUGUCUAGGCCUUCCACCAUAUCAUCCGCAUUGCCACCACCGACUUUCGCAACCUACACCAUUUUGAUCCCUAUAGCAUUUGAGGUUGUUUGAGUAGUGACUCGGGUCUCCUAAGGUGUUUCGACUACUUUGGGACGGUUGCUUCUUCAUCAACCACCACCAUAACUUCCGCAUAGGCUUGCCCACCAUACACUUCCACCACCCCAACUUAACCCAAUUUUGUUUGAGCUUGUUUGAGUUGUGGCUUGUGUCUCCUAAGGUGUUUCAGCUACUUAGGGACGACAACUUCAACUCCGACAUGUGUAUAGCCCAUCAUUCCACUUCCGCAUUGCCAAGUGCACACUACCACCGCUUUCCGCUACCACCAUUUGACAUUUGCCUUUGGAGAUUUUGAGUUCACGAUUUUUCCGUUUCCUAAGGUGUUUCGGCUACUUAGGGACGAGUCUCCAUCAUCUUGGUUUCUACAUCAAGAACACCGCCACUCAUCAUCACCACGGACGGUAACCUCCAUAUCAUCUUGGUAUCUUGGUAUCCCUCCAUUGUAUAUUCCCUUGCCAUUGAAUUGAUAACCCCUAGCCUAUUUUGCGUCACUUGCCUAUCGAGACUAGCCAUUUGAGUAUUGCUGGCAACGUUACUUGUGCACAUUAGUGGUGUACACCAUCCAUUGCAUACAUACCAUAUCACAUUGGUAUCAUCUUGCCAUCAUAGUAUAUCUUGUGUCACAAGUUUGUUCCCGCAUAUAUACAAUUGCUAUCUUGGUUUGUGCAUUGUGCAAAAGUGGCCAUAAAAAAGGAAAGAAUAAGCUUUUAAGCAAAGGAAAAGAGAGAGCAAAGAAUCUUGUAAGCAAUAGCCAUAGCAUCAUACCACAUUGCAUAAGAUUGUCAUAUCCGAUCAUCUUGGAUCAAACACCGGGAACCAUACAUAUAUAGCAUACUUGGGAUAGAAAGUUUAUCCAUUUUGCAUCUUAUAGGUUGUGCACAAGUGUCAUAUCCGCCUAUAGAGCAAUUGUGCUAGCGUCUCUCUUGAGUUGUGCAACACGAGCGUUUUCCGUGGAUUCCACAUUUUGUGCUCAUUCCUUGGUUGCACGACCCCAUUUAUCUAUCCGUGUGUGCGUUUUCGUGUGCCACAUAUUGCUAUUGGUCUACUUGUUUCACUUGCGAAUUUGUGAAUCUUUUUCAACAUUAUUGACUCUUGCUAACAUUUUGCAUCAAAUUUUUGUGCCACUAUCCUCACCGAGCUCCACCAUAAGCCUUAUUUGUGUAUGUGUGAGAAAUUGACGAGAAUCGGUACCAAUUGUGCUAUUUCCUUGUUACAUCAUUGAGUGAUCAUUGAUCCAUUUUCAACAUUGGUCAAGGUACAUUUGGUAUAGUUCUCUCCUUUCUUCCACUCAUAUUUUCUCGAGUCUUGUGAUGGAUAGGCAAGGCAUUUCAUCUCCGGUCUUCCGCAACAACGAUGACAUGAACAACUACAUCACCAAAGCGUCAAUCUUCGAUCUACAACGACAAAUGCAAGGCGCACAAUCAAGAUUGCGAGAGCGCAUCGACAACUUCGCCAUCGACAUACAACACUCCGAAGCAAGGAAAAGGGACUACAUCGACAACAAGCUUUCCGCACAAAAGGAGGAGCAAGAUGCAAGGAUGGAGGAGAUUCGAGCCUUGACCAAGUCUACUUCCCGUUCAUCAUCCUCAAGGCGGCGACGUUUAAGUCACAAGUCUUCGGAGCGCAAACAUGAUACAAGCACAAGCCAUCCACGUCCACAUCUCCAUGGAGACCACCAUCACGUUCGUGAUCCACAUCGUCAUGAAGGGCAAGUCACCUCCAAGCAUCAUGUGCACGACGACGAACGAUAUCUACUACGAGCUCAAGUACAACAACGACAUCAUCAUCAUGAAGAUGCUCCAUAAGCGCAAAUGUACAAGUCCCAAGAAGCCCUACUUCACGCCAAGGCCAAGCUUCAAGAGCACAAAAGAAGACCGCGAUACGACCACCACCAAGACGGCGCUACGGCUACAACAACCACUUUGGCAUCUUCGCCAAGUGCUAUCAAGGCAUCUUUGCCUUUCGACGUACGGCAUCUUCACCUACUUUCCAUGUGUACGCCUACAUCAACUUCAUCAAGUCCAAGGCGACUACCUAUGAGCGAGGGCAACACUUCCAUCUUCGGAAGCCCCUCAAAGAAGAUGGCCGAGCAUGGGAAAUUCCCUUCGGUCAUGGAGGCGAGCUACGAGGUGCCACAUCAUAUGGGCCUCCUACAACAAGACGACGACAAGACGGUCGAGCAAGGGCCAUCCCCUUCGACCACGACGACGAGCACGAACCUCUUCAACAACAUGAAGACGGCGCCCACAUUGGACUCAUACUCCAAGUCAAGCUACACGACCGCACAUGGAGACAUUUGCACCUACAUCUCUCCGACAACCACAUAUGUCAAGAUGCCCCAAGUGCCAUGUGAGGAGAGCCACCACCACAUGAGUGACAUGAGUGACUCCACUAUUGUAACACCCCAGUUGUAACAUGUCCCAAUUUGGCAAUAUAUCAACUUGACCUUCAUCCAUUUCUUGUGGGUUUUAUCAUGUUUGGCCUCAUCUUGUUUGGUUAUGUGGUUUACUCUUUUCAUUGUCAUGCUCACCUUACCAUAUUGCAUUUGUGCCUCUUAUCAUUUUGCAUUCCAUCCUCAUCAUGUGCAUGUUGUGAUCUCAUACAUGUUAUGUUGUUGCAUGUUCAAUGCAUAAAUCUUGCAUCAUCACCAAUUCUCCUUCCUUUCCUUUCUUUCUUUUUGCAAGUGCACCUUUUGCCUUCUCCUUAAAUGUUCAUAUUCUCCCUAUAAAUCUUGCUCCAUGUCAUUUACCUCUCUGCCAAAUAUCACCUUAUUUGAAGUUGUUUUGGUCAGGUUCAAAAAUGACCCAAGUUUGAAUUUUAUUCAAACUUGUUUUAUUUUUAUACCUCUAAAAAAGCCCAAUGAAAUUUAUUCAAACAGUGGAUAAUCCCAGGAGCUUGGGAAUAUUUUCAUAAUUUCCAAAUGCCUCUCCUAGUCCACUGGCCUUUUUCCUUUCUUCAGCUGGUUAUUUAAAUAAUCAGAAACUGGAAGGAAAUGAGAAGGGGGACUUUCCUCUCCUUACCUGGGCCUUCCCCUCACCUGCAGCCCAACAGAGCAGCACAGCCAGGCGCAGCCCAGCAGCCCAUCCAGCCCACACGUACAGAGGCGUCGUCAACCUCCUGUACGGCGCGCAUCCAGCAUGUCCACGUCGACAACCUCGUUGAUUUGACGGCCCGAGAAGCUCCAUAGACCCCUAUAAAGUUGUCCCCGGUGCCCUAGGAUCUCCCCUCAACCGAUCCCCCUCCUCUCCUUCCCUCGCCGCCGCCAGGUAAGCCGAGCCGCGCCUCGCCGUCGCCCUGCCCACCAUGAACCGACCGAGCUUCGGCUCGAGCUCGGGAUAGCCGUCGCCGGCGUGCACUCCGGCCACCUCCGCCUCGCCAACGUCGUACGUCUUCCUCCACGACGUCGACUACGUACCCGCCGUCCUCUUCCUCGCCUGGGAUCGCCAAGUUCGGCUACCUCCCCGUCGUCCUCGUCCUCCCCUGCUUCGCGGACAGCAGCCCCGCCAGGUUCAGAGCUCGUCCGCGUCGCUGCAGGCUCGACUCCGUCGCCGUAUUCUUGUCCUUGGGUAAGGAGGUAUACCCAACUUCCUCCCUGCUCCUUCCUGUCGUCAAUAGAUCACCGUAGGCGCUGCUUCGAUUCAAUCUUUCCCGUACUCUCGGUGCUCCGACGAUCUCUGUAGUUUUUAGUUGCGCAUGUUUUGCUGCUGCACGUGCACACGCUCUCUCCCCUGUUCCCACGUGCUCGCGCUCGCUCGCUCGCCGCGCCCGUAGCCCCGCUUGCAUCUGCACCCGCGCGCGCACCCUGCCUGCUCGCGUCGCUCGCUCGCUCGACGUUCUGUACUGCGCCCGAGGCAAGCACGAGCUCGUGCUCAGGCACCGCAAGCACGCGCCUUCCACAGCCGCUCCGCAUGCACGCCUGGCCCCGCCUUCGAAUUCCGCACCCCCCGCCGGUGACCCUCUGCUCGGGUGGUCGCCGUCGUGUUCGCUGGCAGAAGUGCCGUUCUCGCACCAGCAGCCCCCGCCUAUCGUUAGGACAAGUAGCCUAGCGACCGCUUCUUGUAACAACAGAAGUAGCAGCGUAGCGGUUGUGGUCUUGCUGUUCCACCCAGGAGUGCAGGGUUCGAAUCCCAGCCUCCACAUUUUUAUCUUCGGCCUUUUAAUUUCUGUGCCCCAACAGGUUCCUUUGCUUGUGUUCUUGCUUUGGGUAGAGCCGGGAGACGAGAACGCUUACGAGGAACCUGUUGAGUACGCUUACGAGGAUCCAGCCUUCGACAACUCUGAGAACCUUGCAGGCAAGAUGACCUUACCUUCGAUAUCACUUCUAUCUCUGCUUGCUAGUACUCGCUCUAUCGCUAUGUUAGCUCUACCUGCCAUUGUUUACCAUGCCUACCUAUUGCCAUGAUAAACCUCUAAUCAUCCUGUCCUAGCAACCGUUGAUUGGCUAUGUCACCGAUUUUGCUCAGCCCCUCUUAUAGCAUUGUUAGUUGCAGGUGAAGGUGAAGUUUGUUCCUGGUCGGAACAUUGUUACUUUGGGAUAUCACAAUAUCUCCUGUUUAAAUUAAUGCACCUUAUAUAUUUGGUAAAGGGUGGAAGGCUCGGCCUUAUGCCUAGUGACUUGUUCCACUCUUGCCACCCUAGUUCCGUAUACCGGUGUUAUGUUCCUUGAUUUUGCGUUCCUUAUACGGUUGGGUGAUUUAUGGGACCCCCUUAAUAGUUCGCUUUGAAUAAAACUCCUCCAGCAAGGCCCAACUUUGGUUUUACCAUUUGCCACCUAAGCCCUUUCCCUUGGGUUUUCGCGAGCCCAAGGGUCAUCUUUAUUACCCCCCGGGCCAGUGCUCCUCUGAGUGUUGGUCCAAACUAGAGCCCUUUGCAGCGCCACCUCGGGGAAACUUGAGGGCUGGUUUUAGUUGUACGAACUGCUAAUCCGUUUGUGCCCUGAGAACGAGAUAUGUGCAGCUCCUAUCGGGAUUUGUCGGCAUAGUCGGGUGGUCUUGCUGGACUUGUUUUACCAUUGUCGAAAUGUUUUGCGAACCGAGAUUCCGAGACUGAUCGGGUCUUCCCGGGAGAAGGUGUAUUCCUUCGUUGACUAUGAGAGCUUGUGAUGGGCUAAGUUGGGACACCCCUGCAGGGUAUAUAUUCUUUCGAAAGCCGUGCCCGCGGCUAUGAGGCAGAUGGGAAUUUGUUAAUGUCCGGUUGUAGAUAACUUGACACUUCACCUCUUUAAAAUGCAUCAACCGAGUGUGUAGCCAUGAUGGUCUCUUCUCGGCGGAGUCCGGGAAGUGAACACGGUUUGUGUUAUGCUUGACGUAAGUAGUUUCAGGAUCACUUCUUGAUCACUUCUAGCUUCUCGACCGAUGCGUUGCUUCUCUUCUCGCUCUCACUUGCGUAUGUUAGCCACCAUAUUUGCUUAGUGCUUGCUGCAGCUCCACCAUAUUACACCUUUCCUACCUAUGAGCUUAAAUAGUCUUGAUCUCGCGGGUGUGAGAUUGCUGAGUCCCCGUGGCUCACAGAUUCUACCAAAACAGAUGCAGGUGCCGAGGAUACUGGCGCAGAUGGCGCAACUGAGCUGAAGUGGGAAUUUGAUGAGGCCCUUGGUCGUUACUAUGUAUCGUUUCCAGAUGAUCAGUAGAGGAGCCCAGUCGGGGCGAUCGGGGAUCUAGCAUUUGGGGUUGUCUUCUUUUCAUUUGAACUUGACCGUAGCCGGUCUAUGAGUGUACUUUGAAUGAUGUAUGAUCUUAAUUUAUGUAUUGUGUGAAGUGGCGAUUGUAAGCCAACUCUCUUUAUCCCAUUCUUGUUCAUUACAUGAGAUUGUGUGAAGAUGACCCUUCUUGCGACAAAACCACCAUGCGGUUAUGCCUCUAAGUCGUGCUUCGACACGUGGGAGAUAUAGCCGCAUCGUGGGUGUGACAAGUUGGUAAUCAGAGCCAUCCCCGACUUAGGAGGCCCCUGCUUGAUUGUUUGCUGGCGAUGUUGAGUCUAGAACAAAAAUGUUUUGAGUCUUAGGAUUAUAUAUAUCGGAGAGUAGGAUUCUUUUUACUCCUCAGUCCCUUCGUCGCUCUGGUGAGGUCUCCUGACGUAGAUGUUUUGACUUUCCUCUUCUCAAAUUUUCACUAAAUUUUUUUUUAGGAUCACGCGGGUAUCUUGGAAUCGUUCCGAUGGUUUUGUGACGAGAACAUUGUUCUUGGUGCCUCCUGACAUUUAGGGGUUGUGGCAGUGUCCCGGGGAGUUGAGCUCCGAGGUGUUGUCGUCACAAUCUUAUCGUUGCAGUUCUGGAAUACCUGAGUUUUGCCGGCAUCGAAAAUCUCUUUUAUGCAGUUGUUGGUGAGAUAACCCCAAUAACCCAGUACUGGGGCGAGCUCGGGAGUAUUGCCAUAACUCGUAUAAUGGAUGCUUUUCGAAGGUUGAGGUACACGAUUUCCGAAGGUUUCUUGGUUAUGUGUUGACGGAUGGAUACAGCUGGAUGUAGGGAUUGUUAGUUUGGGUGAGAUAUAUUGCUUCCCCUGUAUCCCCAACACCUGAUUGCAUAACCAGAAAGUUUCGGGAGUUUAUAGGUGGGAUUCAAGUAGCUCUAGCAUUUCUUCCCACAGAUAUUUGGUUUGUGAUUGGGUAAUCCUUACCACUUAUUUGUUCCAGUUGUACCUUGUUUAUUUCAUUCAUCAAUCUCUAUUCAAGUGGCUUCUCACCUUAAUGGACGUGUGAUGUUUGCUUUGGAAUUCAUUCCUUCAUCUUUGUUCGAAUGUUUAUUGUGAAGACUAUAUAUUGCAAUUUCUAUCCGUUGAUUCAACUUGUCUAUCUGUCUAUCAAGAUGCUAACGGAUGUCAACCUCUUCAGGAUGGCUCUGCCAACGCGUCUGAAUCUGUAUCGCAAUGAUGGGAGUCAGGCGAACCCUCCACCUCCACCUCCGCCUCCGGAGGCAUGGCAAGCUUUGAUGGCAGCCUCUAACGCCCAUGAUCAGAUGAUGAUUCAGCUCAUGCAAGAGCGCAACCAAGGCCAAGGCAACCAAGGGAAUCAAGGUCAAGGGCAGUUCAAUCAUCAGCCUCUAUUUCCUACCCUCAACCAGUUCCUGGCAAAUCAGCCGAAGUCUUUCAGCUACUGUGUCGAGGCCACAGACGCCGAUGAUUGGCUCGUGGAUAUCAACAAGCAUUUUGAAUGCAGCAAUGUCAGGCCUGAGGACUAUGUCAAGUUCGCUUCUUUUCAGCUCAAGGAUCAAGCAGCUGAUUGGUUCCAGCAAUACAAGGAUUCCAGAGGUGGUCGAGUGAUUACUUGGACUGAUUUCUGUCGGGACUUUAAAGCUCACCAUAUUCCUACCAGUGUUGUUGAGAGCAAGCGAGAGGAGUUCCGCAAUCUCAAGCAAGGCAACAUGUCAGUGUAUGAAUACAACAAGCAGUUUCAGAAACUUGCUCGCUUCGCUAAGCAGGAUGUUCCUGAUGAGAAAAGUAUGAUCUAUCAGUUCAGAGGUGGCCUUAGAGAGGAUCUGCAGUUAGCUCUCGUUCUUGUUGAGCCUACUCAGUUUGAUCAAUUCUACAAUAUGGCACUCAAGCAAGAAGGUGCUCAGCUCAAGUGUGAGGCUUCUAAGAAGAGAAUCAGAGAUGCAGUGCAAUCUUCUUCUUCCUCACAAGUGGCAGCUAAGCAGCAAAAGUUUUAUCUUCCUCCUCCUCCGUUUCGUCAGCCUUACCAACAGAAGAACUCAGGUGCUCGUGGAUCUUCCCACCCACCCAACCCAAGCUAUCAGAACAAGUCUCAGCCUCAAGCUUCAAAGUCAAAUGCUCCUUAUCAUCGUCCGCUCUCAGAAGUGACUUGCAACAAGUGCCAGCAGAAAGGUCACUACGCGAACAAAUGCUUAAAUCAAAGGCGCCUUCCUCCUCCUCCUCCUGUGAGAUCUUCAAGCAAUGCAAUGGUCAAGCAUAAUCCAAAGUCUGCAAAGGUGAACAUGAUGAAUGCAACUCAGGCAAAGGAUUCUUCAGAUGUGAUAAUGGGUAAUCUUCCUGUUAAUGAUAUUCCUGCAAAAGUCUUAUUUGAUACUGGUGCAUCACAUUGUUUCAUGUCAAGACCGUUUUUUGCCAAGCAUGAAUUCUCUUCGUCACAUUUGGGUAAACCCAUGGAUGUCGUUUCCCCGGGUAAACGGUUGAGCUCCAGUUUGGUGGUUCCGGAUACCACAAUCAAGAUGGGCGACUAUAAAUUUCUGUCUUCUCCAGUGGUUCUUGGUGACUCUGAUAUUGAUCUAAUUCUUGGGAUGGACUGGCUUUCUAAGCACAAGGCUCAUCUUGAUUGUGCUGCCAGACAAAUUCAAUUGACACACCCUUCAGAGGAUGUUAUCAUCUAUGCCGCUUGUGAUGAAACCAUUCGGUUGUUUUCUCUCAGUGAGAAGGGCGAGCUGGAUGCUAUUUCUCAAAUUCCAGUCAUUUGUGAGUACCAAGAUGUCUUUCCAGAAGAGCUUCCGGGCAUGCCUCCUCAUCGGCCAGUCGAGUUCGUUAUUGAUCUUGAGCCUGGAACAGAACCCGUUUGCAAGCGUCCUUACAAGCUUGGACCCAAGGAGCUGAAGGAAUUGAAGAAGCAGCUCGAUGAACAAGAGCGUCUGGGUUUGAUCAGACCGAGUUCUUCCCCAUGGGGUUGUGGAGUUCUUUUUGUCCAGAAGAAGGAUGGCACGGACCGACUUUGUGUCGAUUACCGUCCAUUGAACAAGAAGACAAUCAAGAACAAGUAUCCACUUCCCAACAUCAAUGAGCUUUUCGAGCAACUCAAAGGGGCUAAAGUCUUCUCCAAGCUUGACCUUCGUAUGGGGUAUCAUCAGAUUCGCAUUCGUGAACAAGAUAUUCCCAAGACAACAUUCAGAACAAGCUAUGGUUCUUAUGAAUAUACUGUCAUGUCUUUCGGCCUUGUCAAUGCUCCUCCAACGUUCUCUCGCAUGAUGAACUUUAUCUUCAACCCCUACACCAAUGAAUUUGUUCUGGUGUAUCUCGAUGAUAUUUUGGUCUUCUCCAAGAAUAAGCAGGAUCAUGCUAAACAUUUGCGAUUGGUGCUCGACAAGCUCAGAGAGCAUCAAUUCUAUGCGAAGUUUUCCAAAUGUGAGUUCUGGCUUGAUGAAGUUCUUUAUCUUGGUCAUAUCAUCUCCGCCAAGGGAAUUGCUGUUAAUCCAGCGAAGGUUCCUGCAGUUGUGAAUUGGGAACCUCCUCAGAAUGUCAAGCAGCUCCGCAGUUUUCUUGGUCUUGCAAGCUAUUGCCGAAGAUUCGUUGAGAACUUCUCUAAGAUUGCAAAGCCUCUUUCCAACCUCCUCCAGAAGCAUGUCAAGUAUGUCUGGACGCCUGAGUGUGACGUCGCUUUCAACACCCUCAAAGAGAAGCUAGUCACAGCUCCUGUUUUGACUCCUCCUGAUGAAUCCAAGCCAUUCAAAGUAUUCUGUGAUGCUUCCCUUCAAGGUCACAGUGCUGUGUUGAUGCAAGAGAAAAAAGUUGUGGCCUAUACCUCUCGUAAGUUGAAGCCCAACGAAAAGAACUACCCCACUCACGAUCUUGAGUUGGCGGCAGUUGUCCAUGCAUUGAUCACAUGGAGACAUCUCUUAUUGGGAAGGCAAGUGGACAUUUUCACCGAUCACAAGAGCCUCAAGUAUAUAUUCACUCAACCAAACCUAAACCUCAGGCAAACUCGAUGGGUCGAAAUGAUUCAAGAGUACAAUCCAAGUAUUGAAUAUACUCCUGGCAAGGCGAAUGUGAUUGCAGAUGCUCUGAGCAGAAAGGCUUAUUGCAACAGUCUAAUUCUCAAGCCGUUUCAACCGGAUCUUUGUGAAGCCUUCCGCAAGCUGAAUCUUUAAGUUGUUCCUCAAGGCUUUCUUGCCAACCUCAUAGUCUCUCGUACUUUGGAAGAUCAAAUUCGUGAGGCACAACUCCUGGAUACCAUGGUGAAGAAGGUGAAACGUGGUAUUGACAAGGGCAUUCCUAAAUACAAGUGCUAUCGCUUGGAUGACAAAGAUACUCUUUUCUUCGAGGAUCGCAUUGUGGUUCCAAAAGGUGAUUUGAGAAAAGUCAUCAUGAAUGAGGCACACAAUUCCCUCCUAUCCAUUCAUCCUGGAAGUACAAAGAUGUACCAUGACCUCAAGCAGUCAUAUUGGUGGACUCGUAUGAAGCGAGAAAUUGCUCAAUUCGUGAAUGAAUGUGAUGUCUGCAGAAGAGUGAAAGCAGAACACCAAAGACCAGCUGGUCUCCUCCAACCUCUUGCUAUUCCGGAAUGGAAGUUUGACCAUAUCGAGAUGGACUUCGUGACUGGUUUUCCUAAGUCCAAGCGGGGAAAUGAUGCUAUCUUCGUUGUCAUUGACAAGCUUACCAAAGUGGCUCAUUUUCUCCCUAUCAAAGAAUCUAUCACAACAGCUCAGCUGGCAGAGCUAUACACCUCCAGAAUUGUCUCCUUGCACGGCAUUCCACAAUUGACAUCUUCAGAUCGUGGAAGCAUCUUCACUUCCAAGUUCUGGGACUCUUUUCAAACGGCCAUGGGUUCCAACAUUCGUUUCAGCACAACUUUCCAUCCUCAAACAAGUGGCCAAGUCGAGCGAGUCAAUCAAAUUCUUGAAGAUAUGCUCAGGGCUUGUGUCAUCUCUUUCGGUAUGAAGUGGGAAGAUUGUCUUCCAUAUGCCGAGUUCUCCUACAACAACAGCUUCCAAGCGAGUUCGGGCAAUGCCCCAUUCGAAAUUCUCUAUGGCAGAAAGUGCUGUACUCCUCUCAACUGGUCUGAGACAGGUGAACGCCAACUUCUUGGCAACGACUUCACAGAAGCCGAAGAAAUGUGCAAAGUCAUUCGUGAGAAUCUCAAAGCCGCGCAAUCGCGCCAAAAGAGUUACUAUGAUAGCAAGCACCGUGACUUGGCUUUUGAAAUCGAAGACCAUGUCUAUCUCCACGUCUCUCCAAUGAAAGGCACUCGUCGCUUCGGUAUCAAAGGGAAUCUUGCCCCUAGAUACGUGGGUCCUUUCAAGAUCAUUGGCAAAAGAGGCGACCUCGCCUAUCAACUUGAGCUUCCAUCCAACUUUGCAAACGUGCACGAUGUGUUUCACGUGUCACAGCUUUGCAAGUGCUUCAAGACUCCUGAGCGCACUAUCAACUUCGAAGAAAUCGACCUCCAAGAAGAUCUCUCUUAUCAUGAGCACCCCGUUGCUAUUCUUGAAGAAACCGAGCGCAAGACUCGCAACAAGUCAAUCAAAUUCCUGAAAGUGAAGUGGUCACACCAUUCCGACCGAGAAGCCACCUGGGAGCGCGAGGAUAACCUCCGUUCCGAAUAUUCGGAGUUCUUUCAGUCCUAGAUCUCGGGACGAGAUCCUCUUGUAGUGGUGGAGUGUUGUAACACCCCAGUUGUAACAUGUCCCAAUUUGGCAAUAUAUCAACUUGACCUUCAUCCAUUUCUUGUGGGUUUUAUCAUGUUUGGCCUCAUCUUGUUUGGUUAUGUGGUUUACUCUUUUCAUUGUCAUGCUCACCUUACCAUAUUGCAUUUGUGCCUCUUGUCAUUUUGCAUUCCAUCCUCAUCAUGUGCAUGUUGUGAUCUCAUACAUGUUAUGUUGUUGCAUGUUCAAUGCAUAAAUCUUGCAUCAUCACCAAUUCUCCUUCCUUUCCUUUCUUUCUUUUUGCAAGUGCACCUUUUACCUUCUCCUUAAAUGUUCAUAUUCUCCCUACAAAUCUUGCUCCAUGUCAUUUACCUCUCUGCCAAAUAUCACCUUUUUUGAAGUUUUUUGGUCAGGUUCAAAAAUGACCCAAGUUUGAAUUUUAUUCAAACUUGUUUUAUUUUUAUACCUCUAAAAAAGCCCAAUGAAAUUUAUUCAAAUAGUGGAUAAUCCCAGGAGCUUGGGAAUAUUUUCAUAAUUUCCAAAUGCCUCUCCUAGUCCACUGGCCUUUUUCUUUCUUCAGCUGGUUAUUUAAAUAAUCAGAAACUGGAAGGAAAUGAGAAGGGGGACUUUCCUCUCCUUACCUGGGCCUUCCCCUCACCUGCAGCCCAACAGAGCAGCACAGCCAGGCGCAACCCAGCAGGCCAUCCAUCCCACAUGUACAGAGGCGUCGUCAACCUCCUGUACGGCGCGCAUCCAGCAUGUCCACGUUGACAACCUCGUUGAUUUGACGGCCCGAGAAGCUCCAUAGACCCCUAUAAAGUUGUCCCUGGUGCCCUAGGGUCUCCCCUCAACCGAUCCCCCUCCUCUCCUUCCCUCGCCGCCGCCAGGUAAGCCGAGCCGCGCCUCGCCGUCGCCCUGCCCACCAUGAACCGACCGAGCUUCGGCUCGAGCUCGGGAUAGCCGUCGCCGGCGUGCACUCCGGCCACCUCCGCCUCGCCAACGUCGUACGUAUUCCUCCACGACGUCGACUACGUCCCCGCCGUCCUCUUCCUCGCCUGGGAUCGCCAAGUUCGGCUACCUCCCCGUCGUCCUCGUCCUCCCCUGCUUCGCGGACAGCAGCCCCGCCAGGUUCAGAGCUCGUCCGCGUCGCCGCAGGCUCGACUCCGUCGCCGUAUUCUUGUCCUUGGGUAAGGAGGUAUACCCAACUUCCACCCUGCUCCUUCUUGUCGUCAAUAGAUCACCGUAGGCGCUGCUUCGAUUCAAUCUUUCCCGUACUCUCGGUGCUCCGACGAUCUCUGUAGUUUUUAGUUGCGCAUGUUUUGCUGCUGCACGUGCACACGCUCUCUCCCCUGUUCCCACGUGCUCGCGCUCGCUCGCUCGCCGCGCCCGUAGCCCCGCUUGCAUCUGCACCCGCGCGCGCACCCUGCCUGCUCGCGUCGCUCGCUCGCUCGACGUUCUGUACUGCGCCCGAGGCAAGCACGAGCUCGUGCUCGGGCACCGCAAGCAUGCGCCUUCCACAGCCGCUCCGCGUGCACGCCUGGCCCCGCCUUCGAAUUCCGCACCCCCACCGGUGACCCUCUGCUUGGGUGGUCGCCGUCGUGUUCGCUGGCAGCAGUGCCGUUCUCGCACCAGCAGCCCUCACCUAUCGUUAGGACAAGUAGCCCAGCGACCGCUUCUUGUAACAACAGAAGCAGCAGCGUAGCGGUUGUGGUCUUGCUGUUCCACCCAGGAGUGCAGGGUUCGAAUCCCAGCCUCCACAUUUUUAUCUUCGGCCUUUUAAUUUCUCUUGGGGCACUGACGUCUCGGCCCCACUGUCAUACACACACCCGCAUUGACCCACUGUCAUACAAACACGCACACAUGUCCCUCUUUUUUUUUUUUGUAUUUUGUUCUAUUACCCAGCGCUUUCCAUUUCUGGAAAGUCCUCUCUUUCCAUUUCAGGCAGAUCCAAAUCUGGACAUUUCAUUUCUGGAAUACUGCCAAUUCUGUCAAUAGCCAUUUUAGGCAGGUUUUAACUUAAUGCACUUGUGUAUGAUUUUCUACAGAAACCCCAACAUAUUAUAUAUGUUUUUGGGGUAGAAAAAUCCCACCAAUCCAGUGGUGGCAUUAGUUUCUGCAUUUGAGCAAGUUCAUGGACUUGUCAUUUUACAUCAUGAUGUUGUCUUGUCAUUUUUGUGUGGUUUAUUUCAAGCAUGCUAUGAAGUUGUUUUGCACAAGGAUAGCUUCAUUUUCAUGUCUACUUCAUGCUAGUACUUGAUCCAUGCCAUGACAUGCCUGGUAGUGAGUUGAUCAAGCCUGUAGAGGUGCCAUGAUGAAUCUGUUUCUGCUAUGUCUAGUAUUUCCACUAAGUCUGUAGAUACUGUUAUCUUUUGCAUUAUUGCCAUGCUAUUUUAGUCAUGCUCUAGUGGUUUAUAGAUUGAGCUCAGUGUUCAUGUUUCGUAGAGCAUCUCUUGUACAUCACUGCUAUGCAUUCUGUUCAUAUGUUUGGGUGCUAUAGCUUGCUCAUACUUUGCAUCCAAGUGGCCAUGUUGUUGUUUGCAUCAUAUCUUGUCGUGCUUGUCAUUUGCAAACCGUGCACCCGAAUCCGGUGAUCUCUAUAUCGAUUCCAACCGAAAUCAUCUCAUCUUUCCAGCGGCAUACUUGGGUUGCCAAGUUGAUGCCUUGUUCUUCAUCUUUCCUUCCGAAGCACGCAUAUGCUUUGCAUAUCACAUCUCGCAUAGCAUGACAUGUAUUGCAUCAUGUUGCUUGUGCAUUGCACCGUGAUUUAUUGUGGUUCCUUUGCUUGUGUUCUUGCUUUGGGUAGAGCCGGGAGACGAGAACGCUUACGAGGAACCUGUUGAGUACGCUUACGAGGAUCCAGCCUUCGACAACUCUGAGAACCUUGCAGGCAAGAUGACCUUACCUUCGAUAUCACUUCUAUCUCUGCUUGCUAGUACUCGCUCUAUCGCUAUGUUAGCUCUACCUGCCAUUGUUUACCAUGCCUACCUAUUGCCAUGAUAAACCUCUAAUCAUCCUGUCCUAGCAACCGUUGAUUGGCUAUGUCACCGCUUUUGCUCAGCCCCUCUUAUAGCAUUGUUAGUUGCAGGUGAAGGUGAAGUUUGUUCCUGGUCGGAACAUUGUUACUUUGGGAUAUCACAAUAUCUCCUGUUUAAAUUAAUGCACCUUAUAUAUUUGGUAAAGGGUGGAAGGCUCGGCCUUAUGCCUAGUGACUUGUUCCACUCUUGCCACCCUAGUUCCGUAUACCGGUGUUAUGUUCCUUGAUUUUGCGUUCCUUACACGGUUGGGUGAUUUAUGGGACCCCCUUAAUAGUUCGCUUUGAAUAAAACUCCUCCAGCAAGGCCCAACUUUGGUUUUACCAUUUGCCACCUAAGCCCUUUCCCUUGGGUUUUCGCGAGCCCAAGGGUCAUCUUUAUUACCCCCCGGGCCAGUGCUCCUCUGAGUGUUGGUCCAAACUAGAGCCCUUUGCAGCGCCACCUCGGGGAAACUUGAGGGCUGGUUUUAGUUGUACGGACUGCUAAUCCGUUUGUGCCCUGAGAACGAGAUAUGUGCAGCUUCUAUCGGGAUUUGUCGGCACAGUCGGGUGGUCUUGCUGGACUUGUUUUACCAUUGUCAAAAUGUUUUGCGAACCGGGAUUCCGAGACUGAUCGGGUCCUCCCGGGAGAAGGUCUAUUCCUUCGUUGACUGUGAGAGCUUGUGAUGGGCUAAGUUGGGACACCCCUGCAGGGUAUAUAUUCUUUCGAAAGCCGUGCCCGCGGUUACGAGGCAGAUGGGAAUUUGUUAAUGUCCGGUUGUAGAUAACUUGACACUUGACCUCUUUAAAAUGCAUCAACCGAGUGUGUAGCCGUGAUGGUCUCUUCUCGGCGGAGUCCGGGAAGUGAACACGGUUUGUGUUAUGCUUGACGUAAGUAGUUUCAGGAUCACUUCUUGAUCACUUCUAGCUUCUCGACCGACGCGUUGCUUCUCUUCUCGCUCUCACUUGCGUAUGUUAGCCACCAUAUUUGCUUAGUGCUUGCCGCAGCUCCACCAUAUUACACCUUUCCUACCUAUGAGCUUAAAUAGUCUUGAUCUCGCGGGUGUGAGAUUGCUGAGUCCCCGUGGCUCACAGAUUCUACCAAAACAGAUGCAGGUGCCGAGGAUACUGGCGCAGAUGGAGCAACUGAGCUGAAGUGGGAAUUUGAUGAGGCCCUUGGUCGUUACUAUGUAUCGUUUCCAGAUGAUCAGUAGAGGAGCCCAGUCGGGGCGAUCGGGGAUCUAGCAUUUGGGGUUGUCUUCUUUUCAUUUGAACUUGACCGUAGCCGGUCUAUGAGUGUACUUUGAAUGAUGUAUGAUCUUAAUUUAUGUAUUGUGUGAAGUGGCGAUUGUAAGCCAACUCUCUUUAUCCCAUUCUUGUUCAUUACAUGGGAUUGUGUGAAGAUGACCCUUCUUGCGACAAAACCACCAUGCGGUUAUGCCUCUAAGUCGUGCUUCGACACGUGGGAGAUAUAGCCGCAUCGUGGGUGUGACAACUAUAUAUGACAUUGAGAGCAUUUCCUAUGAGAGGAUGAGUGUGACCACCACUAGCCCCACACAUGAGAGCAUGCCACACAUCAUAUGUGAGGAUGAGAGCCAUUUGAGUGACUCCACCAACCAUAUGAGUUGAAGCAUCCUUAAGGGAGUGAGUGAGCCACAACACUUAGUGAGUGAGGUAGUUGAGAUGGCAUGUGAGGCCACUAUGAUUUCUAACGACUUAACCUCUACUCCUAGUGUGUUUUCUUCUUUGGUGCUAGGUCUCCUACAUGACGACAUGCCUACCCUCGACGAGUCCAUCCCUCCAAUGGGAAAACCGAUGGCCAUGGUGGACGAUGAUGCACCCCCACAUGGUUCCAUCAAGAUGAAGAUGACAACGAGUGGAUCUUCAACACCUCACCUACAACAGAUGAGCGGUGCUCCAAAGGUAACAUAUGUGAUGGUGCUUCUCUUGCUCCAAAGGUAACAACUACGCACUUCUAUUGUACCUGACUCUCACACAGCUAUGGGCUAUUUACCACUUGUCACCUUAUGCCCAUACCAUCCUGUUCACUUUGCAUGUUAUGCCUCUUUACAUGAUUUUGCCAUGCAAUUGUGACCCUUGCUUGCAUCUACCCAUGAUUCACCAUUAUGCUACUUCUAUGUGUAUUUGCAUGCUUGGUGGAGAUCCUUGUUGCUUUUUCCAUGAUUUCUUUGUGCCCCAUGCUAUUGAUGCUUGUUGUGUUGGGAGAGUCAUGAUGUCCCAUUGGUAUUUACAUAUGGCCUCUCGCCAAUACAUUGAUGAUAUUUUUCUCAUAUCUUACUUCCAUGCUUGUGAUUGUCAUGUCCAUUAUUCAUGCCCACUAUUUGCACACAUGACAUGCUUGCCAUGAUUCCCUCUAGUAUGUUGCAUCUUCGCACUACUAGCUUGCUUGAGUUGAUCGCUAUGAUUGCUUGCUAUGUUGCAUCACCCAUGUUCCACUCUUACUCGCUUUCUUGGGUUGGUGACAUAUAUGUUCAUGCCUCCCACUUGAUUUGUCUUGAUCAUUGUCUCUUGUGUCCAUUAGUUGCCUCUUUCAUAUCCACUUGUAUUGAGUGCAACCAUACUAUGCUUAUUGAUCUUGGAGACUUUGACACCUUACUUGUGAUGCAUGCUUGUUUGAUUGAGCCUAAUGUAUUUGGUUGUUCUCGCAUCAUAUGCCUCCAUACUAUGAAAUGAUCCCUUGUCCUUUCUUAUGUUGAGCAUGAUGCAUACACUUGUUGGGUAUCUCACCACACGAAUGAUGUGUUUUGCAUUUCCGCUAACCUCUUGUUUUUUGAGUGUUUGCCAUGUUCUUUCAUUUUGAAGGAUUCACAAGGCAUUACCGUCAUGAGACAUAUUGGUUAUGUGAAGGCAUACAAGAUGUGCAACUCCAUCAUCCUUGAGAAACUCCUAAAGGUGACCUCCUUCCCUUUGAGCCAUCCUCAAUUACGCAUAUUGGAUGGGUCAUUCUUUCAUUGUUGUUUCCUUCUCCUUGUCUACAUGAUACAUCUAUUGGAGGGAGGACCGACAUUGAAGAUUGGCUCUAUGGACCUUCACAUUGAGGAGCGCUCGCACUUAUUGGAUGCACCUUCGGAACUCCACUCAUGCCACAACAUCGAGCAUUGGUACACCAACACCUCCAUAUUUGUUGAUUGUGCUCAUAAAUGUCAUGCUCGAUGGACAUUUCAUACUCACCACAAGUUUUCACCGUAUGCAUGGAUUGACUCACAUUAUGCUUGUCUUGUUGCAUCUAUUUCCAUGUCAUCCAUGAUAUAUGAGCUUGUGCAUUUCCUUAGCAAAUUUGUUGUGAUCUACCUUGAUGGCAUAUUCAUACAUCAUGAUCAUAUUGCCCACCAUCAAUUGCAUGAUACCAUACACAUAUUGAGCAUCCAUUGCCAUAUUCAUGCUAUUGAUGAACCGUCUCUCUAUGACAUCAUUUUGCACAAUGGUAGAAUUUGUCGCUUUGUGCACCAUGCUAAUUACCCCAUGAAUGCUUUGCAUAUCAAUCUAUACCACCUUGAUAAGAUUCAUGCGCUUUGUCAUGAACAAUCUUGCCGAACGGACUCAUACUUACUUAAUGGACACUUUGUGUGCGCUAACCAUUGUAUUUCCGAGUGUCGCUUGUGUUUGCUUUUUUUGCAUGUCUAUCACUCCGGUGACACCUUGGAGUACUUGGAUUGCGCCAUGUCUUCCACUUCGUCCAACUACAAGUCCGUCCAUGAAAACCGUUUCCAUGGUGAUGAGGAUCACGAUCUGAGGUCGGAUCUUUCCCGGGGGGGGGGGGGAGAUGAUGCAGAGCAUCCUACGAUCAUCCCCAUGUACACUUCGGCUACUNNNNNNNNNNNNNNNNNNNNNNNNNNNNNNNNNNNNNNNNNNNNNNNNNNNNNNNNNNNNNNNNNNNNNNNNNNNNNNNNNNNNNNNNNNNNNNNNNNNNNNNNNNNNNNNNNNNNNNNNNNNNNNNNNNNNNNNNNNNNNNNNNNNNNNNNNNNNNNNNNNNNNNNNNNNNNNNNNNNNNNNNNNNNNNNNNNNNNNNNNNNNNNNNNNNNNNNNNNNNNNNNNNNNNNNNNNNNNNNNNNNNNNGGACCAUACGCCAUUGGGCACAAGGUGAACUCACUCCUUUUCGAACCGUCACUUUCCACAUGUGAGACAUGGCUACUACCUCAUGCAUGGACCUUGCAUAUACUCAGGUACAUCCGAGAUGACCAUGGAGGAUCCAAGGACCAAGGCCAAGCAUGGAAGAGGAGAAGGAAGAAGAAGCAGGGACAAGCUUCUGGAAAGCCCGGAACUUCCGGCCCCCGGACCUUUCGGCCUGCCCGAAACCUCCGGCCCCCGGAGUCCAGACCAGCUCCGAGCGCGCCAACUCUCUGGAUAGCCCGGAACCCGGCCAGAACCUACCCGGAACUUCCGGCCCUGCCCGAAACUUCGGCCUGCCUGCGAGCAAAGACUCGUGCCGAAGCCCAUGUAACCCUUUCCCACUUACCCCUUCGUGGCUUAGACUAUAAAUAGACCAUCCCUCCUCCUAGUUAGGGUUAGCAAAGGAUUAGCUAUUUGAGAUAGAGCUUUGCUCAUCCAUACGGAUCUCCUCCUCGUGAGAGACCGCGGCCUCUUCGAAGAAGAUCCACCUGGAUUCAAGACCCCUUUACGGGAAGAUCCCUCGCGGAUUCAAGACCUCCUCUCGGAGAUGAACUACUGCCACUUGUAUCAUCCUUUGUUGGAUUCGAACUGUGUAUCUCUUUGUGUUUCUUGGAUCUAGCAUAUGUGUGACGGGAUCUCGUUGGUUGAGUGUUUUCUUUUGUGUUUUCCUCGUGUUCCCCUCGUUUCCUCUCGUGUUCUUUGUGUUCUUGGUAGGAUUCCUUUCCAAACGUGAAAGAUCGGCCUCUAGGAUUCUAUCCUACAUCAGAUACCGUAUCAAUAAGGUGCCCAUGAGGAUAAUAUUUAGCUUUCAUCACCUUUGCAUACAGAGAGUCCGGAAAAACCAAUAGACGCCAAGCUUAUUUCGUCAGAAGCGCUUGAUUAAAAAUCCACAUUUUGCAGUGCGGUCGUUCUAAGGACUGGUGUUAGCUGACACGAUCGGUUAACUAGUAUAGUAAAAGAAAAUAAAAACUCCUUAUGUAUGACACCAAAGCAUCCUCGUGGAGUUGUCAAUUGCAUUUGGUGCUUGAGAUUUGCAAAUUGAUAGAUGAUGUGUGUGUGUGUGUAUAUAUAAUAAAAGUAUUUUAGGAUUAAAUAAACAUAUAUUUAAGAGAAAAGUUAAAUAAUAAUAAAAAUAUGGAGAGGGGCAUGAGUUAGAAAAAGAAGGAGAAAUGAUAACUGGGGAACAUUCCCUAGGAGGGAGGUCCAGGGAACGACCUCGUAGCCUUCUGAUCGAGAUCACACGGAUGGUAAUAUUUUUUCUUUUAAAUCGCUGACAUUUUUUUGCGCUACAUAUGACCGUUUUCCCUUCCGAUCAUGGCAAUUUAUGUAAAGUUGCCAUGGCAACUUUAUUCGAAAUCACAUGACAUUUUGAGUGUUCGCUGGGAAAACGCUCCCAGGGAACAUUCCCCAGAUAUCGGUGUCUAGAAAACAUACGCCUAUGUACUCUCGGCAAGAAAAACAAACAGUUCAGCGUGCUACAACAAAUAUAUUUUUUCGAAAAGGAGGGCAUCGUUUUGGCCAUGCAUAUAUCUAUUCACUACCACAAAUAUAUGUACUGAAUUGCUUAAUUUUCCGAUCAUUGCCUUGGGUAAUCUUACAUUAUUUAUCAUGAUGUUUCGGUACAUGGUUUCUGAGAACAUUUGCACUGCCCGAGCCAUAAUUGAUUUCUCAGGUAAUCAUUUAAAAAAAUCCACUUGUUGACGUGAAUAAAGUUGUCUCACAUAAAAGCACGCGCACACACACGCACACACACGCGCACACACACGCGCGCGCACAUGCACGCGCACGCGUACACACACACACACUUUAAGACACGAGAGCAUAGUGUUACGCUUCUCGUUUCUUCAGCUUCACUAUGAGCCCAUAUUUCAUCUGCAGUAAACAAGACAGCUUGGGCUGGAUGCUCUGACCUUCCACCAGCUCCACAUCAAAGUUCCACAUGACUGUGGCGACGAUGGUCUUCAUCUGCAUAACCGCAAUUUCCUUGCCCAUGCAAACCCUCGGGCCCGAGUUGAAGGCCAGGAACUUGUGAGAAGGUACGUUCUUGAGCUUGUUGUUGUCUUCCAAGAGCCAUCUGUUUGGGUUGAAGUCGAGGCAGUCUUUACCCCACAAGCUCUCCAUUCUUCCCAUGGAGUAGAGAGAGAUAAAGAUGGCAUCACCGGCAUGCACCUCAUGGCCACUUGGCAUGAUAUCAUCAGUAACCACUGUCUUGCGCUCCGUAUGCGCUGGUGGAUAUAGCCUGAGAGUCUCGUACAAGGUGGCUCUCAGAUACACGAGAGAUUUGGUGUCCUCCGGCUCAAAGACCAUUGCACCCAUACCGUUGGCUGCUUUGUGCGAUGCAAUAGGUGAGAGUUCCUUACGAAUGAUUGACACGAUGUUAGGAUUCUGGGCAAGGUUGUAGAAUAUCCAUGGCAGGGUCGUGCCAAUUGUGUCCCUCCCAGCGAUCAUGAAGUUAAUGAGUGUCGCACGGAGCAAGUCAUCAUCAGCGAAGUCCGGGUCAUUGAUGUAGGAAGAUAAAAUAUCACCUACAACCUCUUCAUUCUCAUUGUGGCCAACAUUUUCUCCGUUCCUCUUCCUCCUGUCCAUCGUAUCCACAACAAACCUGUGGAGCACUUUCUUCGCUUCGAGGAGCUUUCUCUCAGGACCAAUAUUUAGCCACCUCAUUGCCUUCCACAAAGAGGCUGGCAUGGUGUGCCGGAGAAAUCCCACCUCCAUGACUGUGUCCAUGGCAGUGGAGGCAUCAACCGGAGGCAUGUCCGAGGACAGGAAGCCAGGGUCCACGCCAAAGACUGCCAUGGCGGUCAUGUCAAACAUUAACCUCACCAUUAACUCUUGCAUGUCGAACGAAGUGCCGGUAGUCGCCAUGCGAGCAAGCAAUGGGAGGAGGUGGUCCUUCACCUUGUCACAGCAAUGGGCUGCCACACGAUCAGUAAACCACGGGCUGCUGACCACGCCCGCAAAUUUCACGCGCCGCCGACGGCACAGCUCGCCGUCGAUAGUGAAGAGGCCACCAGCCAUGAUGUCGAAGAUGGCGGCGAAUUCCGCGCCCUUGGGGAAGUUGUGGUAGUUGGUCGUGAAGAUGUGCUGGAUGUUGGCAGGGUCGCAGGUGAUGAAGAAUCGCAUCCCGGCUCCAGGUGGGCCGUCCCCAUUGAAGUUGAGGCCUGAUCCAGCGAGGACCACAGAGCUGUACUCAUGGAAGUUGUACAUGUUGGCCAAGAGAGAAGGGAGCAUGCCUAGUAUUGGCAAUUUUGUGGGGAGCACUGCUUCUGCUGGGUUAUUUGAUCUUCUACGACUAGACCGCAGCAGGUACAAGUAAAGGCCUAGGGGAACAAGUAGCACAAGUGCUGUGGAGAUGAGUGACAUUAUUAUCACUAGCUAGUGUGUACAUGGAUGCUGUAAGGUGCAAUGGACAUGGCGAUGGCUUCAUUUAUAUAUAGAUAAGUUGUUCCUUGGUCUGAGUCCAUUGGUACCAGAUGCGUUGUGGUGCACGAUAUAGCAUGCGUUCUGGUGCACGAUAUAGCAUGCGUUCUGUGCACAAAUAUCAUGCGUUCUGUAUCGUAUGAAAUAGCAUAAAACUUGUAAGUAUAUACCUCAGUUAAUCGAUGUGAUAUUAACAAAGGUAUUUAAAAUCGUCACGCGUAUGGUACCUCAAUUAUUUUUGUUGUGCUGCUGCUGCUGCACUGGAGUAGUGGACAAAAACGUAUGAAUGUUGCUGCUGGAACAGACGACAGACCAUGGCAAGCUCAUCGUGUUCAGGAGACUUGUGCACUGAAGGGCAUCCAGCUCAACUCUGAAGCUCGCAGCUGUGGAUGAGGGGCGACCUGACAUAUAUGUAUGAAACCUGGUACCGUUAUUUGUAUUUCACCAGAUAAUAGUAGAAUUUAUGAAUAAAGCCGAUAGUACCACUAAAAUGAAUGAAUAAAGCCGAUAGUACCACUAAAAUGUAAACAAAAACCAAAGCUAGCAUCGUUUUCUUUGCAAAAACUCAAAACCAAAGCUAGAAGAAGAAAAAUCAUGGUUAGUAGGUCACCACCAACAGUUCUGCGCAAAAGCUCAGCACAACUAUCUGAUGCACAGAACCCCUAAACCUGGCAUAACUGAACGCUCUGUUUUCAGAUAGAGCGACAUUGCAAUAGCAGUUACAGACAUUCUUAUAUUUGGGUAAUCUGGAGAUACCACGACCAUGGGAACGUGACGUCAUCCAGCGUCUAGUAUGCCUACGAGUCGGGAUCAGCGUGGCUAUGCCGAUGUGCUGAACUCAGCAUGGCUCGCACAGCAUGCAUACGGUGAGCUGAUGCACUGAAAUGCUAACUUGAUUUUGUGUCUUAGUAACACUAAAAUGAUACGAGGGACAGGUUUAGGUAACAAUGUUUCCCUUCAGGAAGCACGGACGAGUACUCACGGAACACGGCGGAGCCGAGCAAGCAUGGGGGGCCGUCGGCGCUCGAUCAGUCAAUGGUCACUAGGUUGCUAUUCCAGCUAUGAACGGAUGGGAAUAAACACAAGCACCUGGCGUGCAAGGAGUGAAGCAGGCAGGCAGAAACUGACCUAGUGGCGCUUCCAGAGGACGAAGGAGAGGUCGCCGGCCAUGCCGUGGGCGCGGUUCACCCGGACGGACGUCGACGAGGCCAGCUCCACGGUACCACAGGCCGCAGUCGCCGUCGUCGCCGCCUUGAGUUUCGCGGCUUCGCGCCAUCCGGUAAUGCGUCGACGCGGCCAGCUCGGGUGUUUGACUCAUCAGGAACAGGGGAAGAGAGAGGGUUUGUUGGGCGAUUGAUGGUGGGCUACUCCAGUAACGUGCUUGCUGCAGUGGGCCGUGUAGAUGGGUCUCACAGGCCGCCUUUGACGGCCCACUUAGCUGCUCGGCACAAAAAAAAAUUCCCCGAAAAGAUCCUCAUUUUUUUAAUUCUCCUAAAAAAGCAACAGUAAUUAAUUCAGCUCCCGGAUCACCGUUGCAUGUCGCCCUCCUAUGUUUUCCAGAAAGGAGAUUUUGAGGCCUGCCAGUUCAUCAAUGAAUCUAAAAGAAGGAAUUUCGAAGCUGAUAACCUAGCUAAAUUUUCUUUAUCUUUGGGUCUUGAUAGACAUGUGUGGUUAGUUGAGCCACACGAUUCUGUAACAAUUCAUGUGAACCACGUUGUUGAAUAAAGUGCGGCAAAGUUCUCUAAAAAAAGUAACUGUAAUUGAUAGUAAGAAACAUGCAGACAUCGGAUGCCCAUUUAUUCAGGCGAAGAAGAACAACAACACUAGAGAACCACACCGGCAAACACCAAGUGCAAACAUGAAACACAGAAAAUCUUCCAAAGAUAAGCAAAACUAAAAAACAACUAGCGUUGAAGCCGGAAACACGGGAAAAACGGCAUCCAUGAGUAAGCAUCAUCUGUCAAACACAAUGGAAGGGGUCGCCAAACCUACGGAAUCGGGAUGGAGCACACACUGCAAGAGCACCUGAUAGAAAGGAAAUUGAAGAACACAAACAGAGCUGCUGUUUGGACCUCACCUUUGGGUGACAGUCACACAUCAGCAGGGUAAUCAGAUAGAUGUUCAAAUGACUUCGCCACACCAACAACACAUUGUAACACGCUUAAUGACAUCAACAUCUGGCUUUUCUCUAUGUAGAAGUAUCACACCAGGCUAGCAAAUUAGUUAGCCUCUUGUGGUUCUGUGCACCUUGUAACUGUUUUUGACAAGUGUUCAGCAGUUCAGGCUGGCCUAAGGCCUGCCACAGUUUACAGUCAAGAAAAAUCAAUUGGUACUCGCUCCAUCCCAUAAUAUAAGAGCAUUUUUUACACUAGCGUAGUGUCAAUAACGCUCUUAUAUUAUGGGACAGAGGGAGUAGAAUUUUCAGUGCCAAUAAGUCAUUGUUACAGUCAAGAAAACUAAUUAGUAUAGAAUUUUCAGUGCCAAUAAGUCAGACCACAUAGCACACAUCCCCAAAGAGAAGUUCCGUCUUACAGUGGAUACACAUGAUAAAAUUAAACCCGAUAUAGUACUACUAGAUCUUCACAUUUUGGACCAAAUUCUCAGCCAGAGUGCCCACAUUACUUAGGCCCUGUUCGAUUAAUCCCCUCACCAAAGGGAUUGAAGGGGACUGGAGAGGUUUGAGGGGGAUUUAGACUUGCAAGAGAUUUAAUCCCCUUUGAAACCUCUUCAAACCCCGCCUAACCGAACAAGCCCUUAAGGUGGGGCGACUGUGCCUAAAAUGUCCACCAUAAUUGAUGGACAGCUUGUUGUGAGGUGCUUGAAUCCGUCAGUCUCCUUGACAGCUUGAAGCACGCCCUGUGAAGAAAGGUAUCUGAGACAAGCAUUCUUGAGUUGCAACGUGCCGUGCUGCUCCGCUAAAGCAAGGGUGGUUGCAACUGUCUGCACAUCGAUUCUCUGGCAUAGUUUCCCUUCACAAAUAGCCUUUAGCCUGUCCAGUCCAUACCGAUCUGCAGCAACCAACAAGUGCUGCAAUGCCACAUUCUGAUCAACAUCACAGUUGCUUGGCAGAGUAUCAGUGUAUAUGAAGUGAAGAAGUGCCUCAAAGAUGGAAGGCUCCAUGUCAUCAAUCUUGACGUGUUUCAUGGUGGUUUCUUUCAUUUGACCAAAGAGCUCGGCCUUGAAGACAGACGAUCGCGCAGCUAACACGCAUCUGUGUGCAUUGAAGAGUUGAUCACGGACACUGAAUGUCACAUCCAUGCCUUCUCCAUCCUUCAACAUGUUUGCAAAGUGCAUUUGCAGAUCUGACUGCGGAACUGGGACUAUGACUGUGCUAUCUUCUAUGCGAGGCUCUUUCAAGACCGUCAAAACACAUCUGAUUGUGAAGCGGUCGUCAUUGCGGGAUAGCAGUUCCUUAAGCUUGGAGUUCUCAAUAAACUUUUCCCAGCCCCAAGUACCACCUACUGGCUUAAAGGUUAAUGUCGAGCUCUCUAGCUUAUUAACUUUUCUAUCUUUCUCCAAUAAACUAAAAGUGAACUUCACCUUUGCAUCUGUAGUCCCACUGCAGAAACACAAGAAGGCCGACAUGUAGGCACCUGUAUCCUCCUUCCAUCCAUCAGGAUAUAUUCUGAUGUUCCAGCCGUAGCCGCCGACGUUGAAUGUGCUCGAGCUAAUGAACUUGCCCGCACUCAUACCCUGGAGCAGAGAGUAGCUAGUCACCUCAAAGUUGUGGGCGGUGGUGAUGGACUCUGUCAGGCAUCUCGAGGAGGUCUCGGUAAUGGGUUUGUUAACUGAAGAAGCGAAGUUGUUGGCCAUGGCAGCGGAAGUUAUGGGUGUUGCGGUCACUUGAAUGCUCAUGUACGUGCAUAUAUACUCAAUGUGUGCACAGGAAGACGUUUAGCCUUCAGCAAACAUGGCGUUCACGUUCAACAAGCAUCCAUUGUUGGCACAGCCCCAACCAAUCCACCGAGUACUGACCGAUACUUUUGGCAGCAAUCUGCCUCAACACAUAAUUCUUACUGCCAAGCAAUCUGCGCGCUAACCUGGGAGUGGCACGAGAAGCAACAAACAGUUAAAACAGACGUAACCUAAGAAAGUAAGUCAUGGAAUGAUUCAUGCAAAGGAAGUAAUAACAUGAUGAUAUAUGGGUAUAUAAGCAAAACACUUGGUACCAGUGAUUUCCACACAAGCCCAUUGUUAGGCUAUUUUAUCAUCGCGUGCAGAUCAUAGAUUAAAUAACUGGACCAGACUGCCAGAAGAAAAAGGGAACCGGCGACCCUGGCGGUUUAACCGAAAAAGGGUUGCCCCCGCUUUAUAUCAUAAAGCAAACAUCACCACGAUCCGUCGUAGUCUAGGUGGUUAGAAAAACCUGUACUCGGCUCUCACCCGAGAGACCCUGGCGGUUUCUUCCGCUCCACAAACCAUCCCACCACCGAACCGGGAAAAACCUGUCGAAUCGGUCGGUUUUCUUGCAUAUCAUAGUGCUGCUAGUCCACCUUCUUGCAUAUCAUAGUACCCCGUACAACGAAGCCAAGGAAGCCAAGCAAGCGCGAGAUCAAGGGCUCUCGCGCUCAGCCAGUGAGUGGUCAGGUGAUCACUAGGUGGCUGCUCGAGCUAGGAUGCUAUGGGGACAUACAGCAAUAAACACAAGCACCUGAGGGGCAGGUCAGAGCAGAUACCUGGAGGCUCUUCUAGCGGACGGAGGAGCGGGCGUCGAUGGUGCAGUCGAGGAAGUUCAGAUGGCCGGCGAGGUGAUUCGGCGCACCGCCGUUGCGAGCGGCCGUCGAUCAGGUGGGCCUCCACGCGACCACGCGUCUCCUCCCCCUCGCCGCCGCCUGCGGUUUCGCGCCGUCUCCGGUAUUGCGAGCCCUCGUCUGCUUGGGCGCCCGUUCAACAACGAGCAGAGAGAAGAGAUGACUGCAUUGCUUUUACGGGCCUGGUAGAUGGGCCUAAUCGAGAGAAGCCCCAACUGUUUUGUCAUGGGCUGAACACCUUUAGUUUUUUCGAGAAGGUAUUCGUAUAGAUUUGACUAAAAAAAAGGUAUGCGUACAGAUUUUUUUAGAUUCGAAAAAAGUUCCCAUGAGAAGACUCUUGUCCUCGAGACCAACACAAUCGAGAAAGGGGUCGGAGCCAUGAUCUCAGUCGGGCACAGGGACCGCGCAGCUAGGGCCUCUCAACGCAUGAGAAGGAGUGUUUGGCAGUUUUCAUGGCUGCCGACCAUUGGCGCUCGUGUAUCAGAUGGGCGAGGUCCUGACUUGCACCAACCAGACAAGCUUCAUUCACUUGGAUGAACAGCGCAUCACGACGCCGUGGCAUCGCUGAGCCUUCACCAAGCUCCUCGGCCUUCAUCACAACUUCACAAGGAUGUUUAUAAGUAUUUGAUUUACUCUUUUUCCUCAAAAUUAUAUAUGCAUGCACGUUUUGGGCCACUCACAAUACAUAGUAUCCUGUAUCAUAUUGCAUGAUACUACUUUAGUUAGUACAUCCACAUAUCAUACAAUAGUAUCAUAUCAUCGCUUCAUUUAUUUAUUUGUAGAACCCCAAUACAAAGUUGUGGAUAAAAUCUACCAACAUUUCUUGUUUGAUGUGCUAUCAUACUUGAAUCUUCUGUCUUAUCCUUGAUCGGAAUGCAAAUACACCACAUCAUCUUUUCUACUUAGGUGGUAUUGCAUGGGAGAGGUCUUAAGUGAAGGGGGACAUUAUAUCAGGCCGGAUUAAUUAAUUUUAUCUUGUGGUCGUGCUAGCUCUUCUUCCACAACUCCUGCAAAUAUGUAACACCGGAGUUUCUACUAUACCCAACAACCGAGAAACAGGUUCGAGUGUUCGACCACCAGGAGGGUGGCUAGCUAGUCUUCACUCUCUGUCUUCUUCACCCCGGCCUGACCUGCAACUCACACAAGGAAGAAUAUGAUCAAUAAUACUCCCUCUGUUAAAAAUUACUCGUCGUGAUUUUAGUUUAAAUUUGAACUAAAACCACGACGUGUAAUUUGGAACGGAGGGAGUACGAGUAUUAAAGUUUGCAUGCAUCAUGCAGUGGCAAUUGCACAACAUGUGUAGCUCCACAUAAUAAGUUUUCUUUUGCCCCAUCCGUAACCUUUACAUCAUUUGUUAGGCCAGAUGAGUUUCCACGUGAUUGAUCGGGUUAUUGUUCCUGUCAACUCAGCUAUUUAUUCCUAUGAUAUGAUUGGUCUGCUGUCAAGUGUAGCUAGCACUUCAUAUGCAGCUAGCUUUUACUACCAUACAGUUCUUCUUUUUUUUGCAGGGAUACAGUUCUUUCUUUGUCGCUAGUUAAUGACUAUGUUAUUUGCUCAUUACCCUGGCACCACUAUACGUUGUCACCUCUCACUUUCGUUGCUAUCACUUCGAUUGCUUAUCUUCUUUCUCUAUCUGUUCCCUGGUUCUCCCACAAAGAACAUGGACCUCAGUCGGCAAAGUACUGCAACCUUUUAGAAUACAUUACAUAUACGGGUUCGUUAGGACAAGUCUUUGACAAACAAUUACUCUGUCUAAUAUCCCCUCAUCUCAAAACAUAGUGCUUAUUAUAAUUUGUCAAAGUCAAAUUUUGUCAAUUUUGACAAAAUUUGUAGAGAGAUUUAUAAACAUCUAGCAUACCAAAUCAACAUCAUUAAAUUCACAUGGAAUAUAUUUUUAUAUAGUAUUUCCAAUAUUUUGUGAACUCCAUGUUUCAAAAAAAAGUGAAAGCUUGACUUUUCCGCAGACCAAUGUGCACUACAUUAUGUGAAGUAGGAAGUAUAUAUUUAUGUGUAUAAGUUAAUGUAACCAGAUUCAUAUUUCAAACUACUCCCUCCGUCCCACAAUAUAAGACGUUUUUGCAAACCAUGUUAUUAUGUUGCAUCACAAAAGUUACAUUCUAAUAAUGUCAUUACUGAUCAAAACAUUGCCCUAACAAAAUCAAAGAUGCAAAUAUAUUUUACUCCCUCUGAUUCAAAAAAUAAAUUUAAUACAUUAAAAAAUAUUUUGAAUCCAGGGGAGUAUAAUUUUUUUCGGGAUAUAGAGCAAGGGCAAUUGAACAAUUCAAACGGUCUCAACCCAAUUGGAUUCAAUGACACGUAAACAAACCGGGUUCACACAAAUGACCUCAUAAUUAUAUAUUUAAGAGAGAGCUAGAUAAGUCCAUGCUCACUGAGAAGAGAAUUAAUCAAUCAUUUGUUUAAUGUUCUCUCUAAACAUAUUGCAUGCACCAAUGACUGAAGAGAUGAGACGAUUGGAAGCUUUAUGAACAUUGCACGCGGUGAAUUAUUAGUAUAUGACAAAAGUACCUCGCAGUGCACCCAUGCACCUCCUUGAUUCAUGAACUGUGAGUUUCAACGCGGCAUCUAGUGUUAAAAUAACUAGUACCAUAUAAUUUUGGUGGAGUGCAAACAUUGGGUGCUAUAGAUAAGAACUAACACUAAUAAUAGAGUAACCCAUUAUAUACCAUGUUUAGAUUACCAUAUCAGGACGACAUGUGUGUUAUGGAAAGGCUAUCUUCCCAACAAUUAUAUGCCCCCUUACCAUCUCGAUCAGUUGCCAUGCUAAAGAUCAACACCGUAACCCCGAGUCGCUAUGGGUACAUCUGCUUCCGGUUAAUUUUAGGAUGUGAUGACGUUACAAACCAGGAUUGAUCUCAGCAAAGAUAUAGAAAUUUAUUUACCUCUUUCAUCCUAAGACAUGGAUUGUUAGACUGGAAUUAUUUUUUCUUAAAAUUUUCUACUUGUUCUUGAAUUCAGGAAGUCUUGCCCUGAUAUCAUGUCAAUUGUCAAGCUUUAUGCACCAAUCAGUUCGCUCAAAACCUUAAGCUAGUGAGAAUAAUCCAAUAUCUAUGCACACUCUUACUUGAAUGAAAAGAUCCUAGUUAAUUAACUAUUGCACGUUCAACUAAUCUUGAGAGGUCGAGGAUAGUGUUAUAAUCUUAUGCUAUGUUUGGAGCACCAGCCAUUAUAUUGGUUUGAUGAUUAGUGGGACAAUUGCACUUCCAGUCCACCAUUCAUGCAUGUGUUGGACCUAUACCUAUUUUAUUGUGAAGGUCACGACACUGGCGUGCUAACAGAUCGAAAGUCACAAUCACAAGUUUAUUUGGAAUUAAGGUUCACAGUUCAGCGCGCCGAUGAGCAGAAUCAAAAGUUACUUCCAGCCUUAGAAAUGACUUCCUUGGGUGUAAAUGAGUUGGAUUAGUCAAAACUAGCUUGUGAACCGAUACAGACUUUUAAGAAACAAAAAAGCUGCAUUCCCGGUAUAUAGAAUUGUAUUUAGGGUGAGUGUAUGUGCGUGUUCAUGAGCAUCAAUGUCGGUGUUUCUAAAAAAAGGGGAGGAAAAACAAAGGCCGUACGCCAUCGAUUGUUUGUCGUAUCAUCUGUUCCCAUAUAUGCCUGCAUGGCUGCACAUAGGGGAUAUUCCUAGCAGCAUUAACUAAAAUAUACCCCCUCCGUCCGAUAAUAUAAGAAGACAUUAGUGUAGUGUAAAAAAUGUUCUUAUAUUAUGAAACGGAGGGAGUAUCUUACAGUACUUAAUAUGUCCUGUUAAAAGAGGUACGGUGCCAUGCCUACAUAUAAUCAGUUGGAGGCACAAAUACAGCGACAACGAAAUUCGAAUUUUUCAAAACCGAGCUCCAUGGAGCUCGGCCUCCAAAAACAAUAUUCGGUGGGGGCAACAUAAUUAAACUAGUGAAGGAGCAUACACACUUGGGACUGCCGCAGAUGAGCAUGGCGAUGCAUUUCCUGAUGAUGUACAGCUUCCCGUGCUGCUGCCUCACGGCACGGCGCAGCCUCCAAAGCUUGGGUCUAUCCUUCUUCUCCUCCAUGUCCUGGUUCUAGCUGAAAGCUUUUUCCUGAAUGGUGAGCGAGCUACAAGCUAACUCCCGGAAAGAGGUAGUAGCCACGAGGCUGGCAUCAUUUGGGAGGAUGGAUCUCAACGCUGGUAUAUAUAGACACCAGCUCUAGCUAGCUUUCAGUUCAGAUGCUGCGCUGCAGAGAUCGAGUACCCGCAACAGGACGGAGUUGCUAGCAACAGGCUGGUGGCUAUCUUUUUCGCUGCAUCAUACUCCUAUCAUGCAUGGGCCACUUCCUUCGGCGGGUCGAUCCCAAAAUUCUGUCAUUUGCUUUUUGUUGAACAUAUGAUUUUGCAUGUAUAUUGUAUAUCCUCGCCCACCUCUAGUCUUUGUAUACUAGAGGUUGAGGCCUAUAUUGUACACUAUAUAUGCGCGCAUAUGCACCUGAUCAGUACUACUCCCUCCAUUUUUGCAUACAAGGCCACAAACCCAUAUUACAGGUAACAAGGCAGAAAUUAAUGCCUACUUAGGCCAAUGUUACAAGCUAGUCUUUUCUUCUCGCUUGACGUGUUAAUUAAUGUGCAUUUUUCUCUUCAACGCACAACAAGACAACCCUCUCACUCUUUGUUGGUUGAUUAAUGUGGUGCAUGAAAACUAACCUUCUCAUGGUAUCAUACCUCUGGAUCCUACCCUAACCCUAAGCCGCCGCUGCUAUCUCCAUCGCCGCCGCUGCCGCCACACCACGCCGCCACCGCGUCCCUCCCAACCGACGCCGCUGCCGCUUCGUGUCGCGCCACCACCCACCUCCCGCUUUCGCCCCCAACCUACCUCCUAGCCGCGUCGCACCUCCCCUGCCGCGCUGCCUAGCCCUAGCCGCACCGCACCUCCUCUCCACCCGCAGCCGCCGUCACCAGAACCUAAGCCGCCGCCCCGUCAUGGACUCCCUGGGAUCCGCCAUGACCAAUAGCUCCAACCCUUUUGCCGGUCCCGUACCCUCCGCCGCCGCCAUCCGUGAUCUCAACAUCGAGGCCCGUGUUCCUGUACGCCUCGACUCCUCCAGCUCCUUGUACUACGCGUGAAAGACCUCGAUGGCUCCAUCGACGACGAGUACAUGAAGGGCAACCCGGAGUGGUCGCCAUCGAGGACACUCUCAUACGAUGGUUCUACCAAACCGUCUCGAAGGACAUCUUCCACAUGGUCAUCGCCGAGGACGACGAUGCUUGCGCCGUGUGGAACAAGAUCAACGCGCUCUUCACCGACAACAAACUUCAGCGCCUCGUUUUCUUGCAGCAAGAGUUCUUCGGGUGCCAUCAGGAUGACUCCACCAUCGAUGGCUACUGCAUGCGGCUCAAGAUGUUUGAUACGUCUCCAACGUAUCUAUAAUUUUUGAUUGUUCCAUGCUAUUAUAUUAUUUGUUUUAAAUGUUUUAUAUGCAUUAAUAUACUAUUUUAUAUCUUUUUUGGGACUAACCUAUUGACCUAGUGCCUAGUGCAAGUUACUGUUUUUCCUUGUUUUUGGCUUUUUCAGAAAGGAAUAUCAAACGGAGUCCAAACGGAAUAAAACUUUCGCGAUGAUUUUUCUUGGACCAGAAGACACCCGUAGGACUUGGAGAGGGGGCUAGGAGCUUCCCGAGGAAGCCAUAAGCUAGGGGGCGCGCCCCUGGGAGGGGGGGGGGGGCUGAGGGCUUGUGGCCCCCUCGGAGGUCUCCUAACCCUAAUUCUUGCUCUAUAAAUUCACAAAUAUUUCCAAAGCACCAGAAGCGUUCACCAAAAUACUUUUUCGCCGCCGCAAGCCUCUAACCUUGUGAGAUCCCAUCUUGGGACCUUUUCCGGCGAGCUACCAGAGGGGGAUUCAAUCAUGGAGGGCCUCUACAUCAACCCUAUCGCCCUACCGAUGAUGCGUGAGUAGUUUGCCAGAGACCUACGGGUCCAUAGCUAGUAGCUAGAUGGCUUUCUCUUUCUUUCUCUCUCUCUCUCUAUCUGAUCUUCAAUACAAAGUUCUCCUCGAUGUUCUUGGAGUUCUAUCCGAUGUAAUACUUUUUUGUGAUGUGUUUGUCGAGAUCCGAUGAAUUAUGGAUUUAUGAUCAGAUUAUCUAUGAAUAUUAUUUGAGUCUCCUCUGAAUUCUUAUAUGCAUGAUUUGAUAUCUUUGUAUUUCUCUUCGAACUAUCGAUUUGGUUUGGCCAACUAGAUUGGUUUUUCUUACAAUGGGAGAUGUGCUUAGUCUUGGGUUCAAUCUUGCGGUGUCCUCACCUAGUGACAUAGUAGGGGCAAUGAGGCAUGCAUUGUAUUGUUGCCAUCAAGGAUAAAAUGAUGGGGUUUACAUCAUAUUACAUGAGUUUAUCCUUCUACAUCAUGUCAUCUUACUUAAAGCGUUACUCUGUUCUUAUGACUUAAUACUCUAGAUGCAUGUUGGAUAGCAGUCGAUGUGUGGAGUAAUAGUAGUAGAUGCAGGCAGGAGUCAGUCUACUUAUCACGGACGUGAUGCCUAUAUUCGUGAUCAUUGCCUUAGAUAUCGUCAUAACUUUGCGCUUUUCUAUCAAUUGCUCAACAGUAAUUUGUUUACCCACCAUAUGCUUUUUUCAAGAGAGAAGCCUCUAGUGAAAUCUAUGGCCCCCGUGUCUGUUUUCCAUCAUAUAUUUUUAGAUCUAUAAAUAAAAGAACCAAAAAUACCUCGCUGAGAUUUAUUUGCUUUUAUUUUGUUUUACAUUUUAGUAAUUAUAUCUAUAUUUGUCAGAUCUCAUCCUUGCAAGUGAUCGUGAAGGAAUUGAAACCCUCCUUUUCGCGUUGGGUGCAAGUGUUUGAUUGUUUGUGUAGCUUCAUAGAUUGGAGACUUAAUUGUACCUCCUACUGGAUUGAUACCUUGGUUCUCAAACUGAGGGAAAUACUUAUCUCUACUUUGCUGCAUCACCCUUUCCUCUUCAAGGAAAAACCAACGCAAGCUGAAGAAGUAGUAGGAAGAAUUUCUGGCGCCAUUGCCGGGGAGGUUCUACAUCAAGCCUACCAAGUACCCAUCAUAAACUCUCAUCUCUUGCAUUACAUUAUUUGCCAUUUGCCUCUCGUUUUUCUCUCCCCCACUUCUAAAACAUUUUAAAAAAAAUAAAAAUAUAUUUGCCUUUUUAUUCGCCCUUCUUUCGUUCAUCUUGUCAUUUUCCUUUUGGUUGCUCGUUAAUACGUCUCCAACGUAUAUAUAAUUUUUUAUUGUUCCAUCCUAUUAUAUUAUCAGUUUUGAAUGUUUUAUAUGCAUUAAUAUGCUAUUUUAUAUCAUUUUUUGGAACCAACCUAUUAACCUAGUGCCCAGUGCCAGUUGCUGUUUUUCCUUGUUUUUUACUUUUUCAGAAAGGAAUAUCAAACAGAGUCCAAACGGAAUAAAACUUGUUGGGAAACAUAGCAUGCAAUUUCAAAAAAAUUCCUAUGCUCACGCAAGAUCUAUCUAGGAGAUGCAUAGCAACGAGAGGGGAGAGUGUGUCCACGUACCCUCGUAGGCCGAAAGCAGAAGCGUUAACUUAACACGCUUGAUGUAGUCGAACGUCUUCUCGAAUCAACCGAUCAAAUACCGAACGUACGACACCUCCGAGUUAUGCACACGUUCAGCUCGAUGACGUCCCUCGGCCUCUUAAUCCAGCAGAGUGUCUAUGGAGUCGAUGAGUUCCGUCAGCACGACGGCAUGAUGAUGGUAUUGGUGAUGUGAUCCACGUAGGGCCUUGCCUAAGCACUACGAUGAUACUAUCGGAGGAGUAAACGGUGGAGGGGGGCACUACUAGAAAAAGGGCCUAAUGUUCAACUCUUUAGUCCCGCUUUGUAAUAGAACCAGUAGUGUCGGUUCCAACGGCUAGGUGGGCAGCUCUCAUUAGUACCGGUUUGUUGUGAACCUUUAGUACCGGUUCGUGCCACGAACCGGUACUAAAGAGGUGGUGGCAGGCUUGUGUCAGGCUGCGGCCCCACCAUGACCUAUAGUACCGGUUCAUUCCAUGAACCGGGACUAGAAGUUCACCUUUAGUCCCGGUUCGUGUAACCGAACGGGACUACAAAUAUCACUAUAUAUAGUGCUUCUUCAAGCCCGAGCCAAAGCCCUUUGUUUUUCCCAUAUUCUCUGUUUUCUUCCCCUCUUGCUCGAGCUCCCACCUCCAUUUUUGCCAAAAUUUUCCAACAUUUGAAGGCACCCCGUCCAUCCAAGUGAUCACAAAGGUUGGCAACUUUGUCCUUUCAUCUCUCAUUGCUACAUUAGCUCUUGCAAUGCUCUAUAAGUAUAGUGAUUUGUGGGUUUUUAGUUUGGGAGGAAUUAUAUGUUGUAGUUUAUUUGAUUUAUAUGCAAUUUGAGGUCAAAAUAACUCUUAGUUUGCAUAUGUAGGUGUGGUUUACUUAGUGCCUUCCCAUCUCCGUCCUAACCACCGUCGAUCGCCCACACCGUCCCAUUGCCGGCACCACCUUGUGGUGAGCCUCUUGUUCUUAUCCUUUUAAUAUAAAAGAAAAAAAAUCAUGUUUGUGUUAUUUAGAUAUAUAGUUACUUGUAUAAUUAUCUUACCCGUACGUUGUUUGUUAUACAUAGUGCCAUAGUUUUGAUAUCCGUCCCCGUCGGCCCUUGUCCGGGUUAUGAUUCGGAUGUGGUAUAUUCUCUUUUAUAACUAUUUGUUGCAUUUCAUGUUUAUGAUAAAUUAUGCCCAUCAAGUUGACAUAGAUAUUUUUAUCUAGGAGGUAUGUGAACCGGAAAUUCCAAACGACCCUAUUGUCGAGAGCUUAAAUUUAGUUGAAAAAGAAAAUGAGUAUUUGAAAGAAAAAUUGAAAAGAAUUGAGGGGGAGAAGAUGGAAUUGGAGUUGCAUGUUGUCGAUUUUGUCGAUGGUCACAAGAUCAAGAUGGAGAAAAUGAGCUUGAAGAUUAGAAAGAUUAGAAAAUAUGCCAUCGAUAGUGAGGCUUGGUAUCAUUAUGCUAUUGGAUCAAUUGUUACCUUAGUUGUGAUCUUGAUCGCAUUUUUUGUUGCAUUUAAAUGCUUCAGCUAGAGAGUUAUGUGUAUGUUGUUUUAUGGGAAUAAGUGUUACAUAAACUUUAUGUAUGAACUUGUAUUAAUUUGGUCUUUUCGGUGCUGUGUAAAUGAAGAUGAGCCGGCAAUGGAUGUACAAUGACCGAUGCUCUCCCCAGUUCAUUAAUGGUGUGCAUACUUUUCUGCUUGCGGCUGAGGCAAAUAAGCAGGCGGAUGGUUUUAUGCCUUGUCUAUGUGCUAACUGUAAGAAUGCUCUGAAUUACUCUCAGUCAAGAACCAUUCACGUCCACCUGUUUGAGUCUGGUUUCAUGCCCCACUAUAAUGUUUGGACCAAGCACGGAGAAAGAUGGGUUAUGAUGGAAGACAAUGAAGAAGAAGAGGACGACGACAACUAUCCUAGCCAUGGGUUCCCUGAAUAUGAUGGUACAACAAUGGGGGAAGAAGCUGAGCCGGCAAUGCGGGAAGAAGCUGAAGAAGAGGCAUCAUAUGAGCCUGCUGAUGAUCUAGGUCGGGCCAUUGCCGAUGCAAAGAGAAACUGCACAAGUGAAAACGAGAAGAAGAAGUUGCAGCGCAUGUUAGAGGAUCACAAGAAAUUGUUGUACCCGAAUUGCGAAGCUGACAAGAAAAAGCUGGGCACCACACUGGAAUUGCUGCAAUGGAAGGCAGAGAAUGGUGUAUCUGACAAGGGAUUUGGGAAGUUGCUGAUAAUGUUAAAGAAGAUGCUUCCAAAGGACAACGAAUUACCUGAGAGUAUGUAUGAAGCAAAGAAGGCUAUCUACCCUCUACGAUUAGAGGUGCAAAAGAUACAUGCAUGCCCUAAUGACUGCAUCCUCUACCGCGGUGAGUACAAGGAUUUGAAUGCGUGCCCGGUAUGCGGUGCAUUGCGCUAUAAGAUCAGCCGCGAUGACCCUGGUGAUGUCGAGGGCGAGCACCCCAGGAAGAAGAUUCCUGCCAAGGUGAUGUGGUAUGCUCCUAUAAUACCACAGUUGAAACGUUUAUUCCAAAACAAAGAGCAUACCAAGUCGAUGCGAUGGCACAGAGAAGACCGUAAGAAAGACGGGAAGUUGAGAGUACCCGCUGACGGGUUGCAGUGGAGAAAAAUCGAGAGAAAGUACUGGGAGGACUUUGCAGGUGACGCAAGGAACGUAUGGUUUGGUCUAAGCGCAAAUGGCAUUAAUCCUUUUGGGGAGUAGAUGAGCAACCAUAGCACCUGGCCUGUGACUCUAUGUAUGUAUAACCUUCCUCCUUGGUUGUGCAUGAAGCAGAAGUUCAUUAUGAUGCCAGUGCUCAUCCAAGGGCCUAAGCAACCUGGCAACGACAUUUAUGUGUACCUAAGGCCAUUAGUUGAAGAACUCUUACAACUGUGGAAUGAAAAAGGUGCACGUGUGUGGGAUGAGCACAAACAAGAAGAAUUUGACCUACAUGCAUUGCUGUUUGUGACCAUCAAUGAUUGGCCUACUCUCAGUAACCUUUCAAGACAUAUAAACAAGGGAUACCGUGCAUGCACGCACUGUUUGGAUGAUAUCGAUAGUAUAUAUUUGGAUAAUUGUAAGAAGAAUGUGUACCUGGGACAUCGUCGAUUUCUUCUGAGCAGGCAUCCCGUAAGAAAGAAAGUUAAGCAUUUCAAAGGUGAGGCAGAUCACCGGACGAAGCCUCGCCAUCGUACCGGUGAUGAUGUACAUGAUAUCACUACAAAAAAAAGA